GGGAUGAGGAGAGCUGCCCUGCUGUAUCCCUGCCCUGAGCUGCACCCACAGGGUGAAAGAAGCACUGCACCAGGGGAGCUGCAUGGCCACAAGGUGGGCAAUCCCAGCCACUCACUGACUGAGUGUGAGAGAGACAUGGCUUGUGUGACUGAGUGUGAGAGAGACAUGGCUUGUGUGACUGACUGAGUGUGAGGGAGACAUGGCUUGUGUGACUGAGUGUGAGAGAGACAUGGCUUGUGUGACUGACUGAGUGUGAGAGAGACAUGGCUUGUGUGACUGACUGAGUGUGAGUGAGACAUGGCUUGUGUGACUGAGUGAGUGAGACAUGGCUUGUGUGACUGACUGAGUGUGAGAGAGACAUGGCUUGUGUGACUGACUGAGUGUGAGAGAGACAUGGCUUGUGUGACUGAGUGUGAGAGAGACAUGGCUUGUGUGACUGUGUGAGUGAGACAUGGCUUGUGUGACUGACUGAGUGUGAGGGAGACAUGGCUUGUGUGACUGAGUGUGAGGGAGACAUGGCUUGUGUGACUGAGUGUGAGAGAGACAUGGCUUGUGUGACUGACUGAGUGUGGACAUGGCUGUGUGACUGAUGGAGUAUUAUGGCUUAGAUCGGAGGAGUGAGAUAUGGCUUGUGGACUGAGUGUGGAGAGAGCAUAUGGCUGUGUGACUGGGAGUGAGAUAUGCGGCUUAAAGUGGACUGAGUGUGAGAGAGACAUGGCUUAGUGACUGUGUGAGAGAUGGCGGCUGUGUGACUGACUGAGUGAGAGACAUGCGGCUGUGACUGACUGAGUGAGUGGAGAUAUGGCUUGCGAGGAGAGAUGAUGGCUGAAAGUACUGAGUGAGGGAGAUAUUUAUGUGAAUUGGAGUGGAGGAGACAUGGCUUCAGUGCAUCGAGUGUGAGGAGAGACAUGGCUGUUACUGAGUGAGAGACAUGCUUGUGUGACUGAGUGUGAGGAGAGACAUGGUUGGUGUGGAGAGACAUGGCUUGUGUUACUGAGUGUGAGGGAGACAUGGCUUGUGUGACUGUGUGUGAGAGAGACAUGGCUUGUGUUACUGAGUGUGAGGGAGACAUGGCUUGUGUGACUGAGUGUGAGGGAGACAUGGCUUGUGCGACUGAGUGUGAGAGAGACAUGGCUUGUGCGACUGAGUGUGAGAGAGACAUGGCUUGUGUGACUGAGUGUGAGAGAGACAUGGCUUGUGUGAGGGAGACAUGGCUUGUGUGACUGAGUGUGAGGGAGACAUGGCUUGUGUGACUGAGUGUGAGGGAGACAUGGCUUGUGUGACUGAGUGUGAGGGAGACAUGGCUUGUGUGACUGUGUGUGAGUGAGACAUGGCUUGUGUGACUGACUGAGUGUGAGUGAGACAUGGCUUGUGUGACUGAGUGUGAGAGAGACAUGGCUUGUGUGACUGUGUGUGAGUGAGACAUAUGUGUUAUAUGUGUAGGUGUGUGUAGUUACAUAUGGUGUUUAUAGUUAUAUGUAGGCGUGUAUAGUUAUAUGUAGUUGUGUAUAGUUAUAUGUAGGCGUGUGUAGUUAUAUGUAGGUGUGUAUAGUUAUAUGUAGGCGUGUAUAGUUAUAUGUAGGCGUGUGUAGUUAUAUGUAGGUGUGUAUAGUUAUAUAUAGGUGUGUAUAGUUAUAUAUGGUGUGUAUAGUUAUAUGUAGGCGUGUGUAGUUAUAUGUAGGUGUGUAUAGUUAUAUAUAGGUGUGUGUAGUUAUAUGUAGGUGUGUAUAGUUAUAUAUAGGUGUGUAUAGUUAUAUGUAGGCGUGUGUAGUUAUAUGUAGGUGUGUGUAGUUAUAUGUAGGCGUGUAUAGUUAUAUGUAGGCAUGUGUAUAGUUAUAUGUAGGCGUGUGUAGUUAUAUGUAGGCGUGUGUAGUUAUAUGUAGGCGUGUAUAGUUAUAUGUAGGCGUGUGUAGUUAUAUGUAGGCGUGUGUAGUUAUAUGUAGGUGUGUAUAGUUAUAUGUAGGUGUGUAUAGUUAUAUGUAGGUGUGUGCAGUUAUAUGUAGGUGUGUGUAGUUAUAUGUAGGCGUGUAUAGUUAUAUGUAGGCGUGUAUAGUUAUAUGUAGGCGUGUGUAGUUAUAUGUAGGCGUGUGUAGUUAUAUGUAGGCGUGUAUAGUUAUAUGUAGGCGUGUGUAGUUAUAUGUAGGCGUGUGUAGUUAUAUGUAGGUGUGUAUAGUUAUAUGUAGGUGUGUAUAGUUAUAUGUAGGUGUGUGCAGUUAUAUGUAGGUGUGUGUAGUUAUAUGUAGGCGUGUAUAGUUAUAUGUAGGCGUGUAUAGUUAUAUGUAGGCGUGUGUAGUUAUAUGUAGGCGUGUGUAGUUAUAUGUAGGCGUGUAUAGUUAUAUAUGGUGUGUAUAGUUAUGUGUGUAUGUGUGUGUGUAGCUAUAUAUAGGUGUGUGUAUAGUUAUAUAUUUAGGUAUUUAUUUCUAUAUAGAUUUAUAUAUAGGUUCUCUCUCUCUCUCUCUCUCUCUCUCUCUAGAUGUUUUAGUAAGGGACUCUCUCCCUCUCUCUCUCUCUCUCUAUAUAUAUAUAUAUAUAUGUAGGUGUUUAUAUAACUGUAACAGAUCACCUGGCACCCCGACUGGGUACCUCCAUUGAAGGAUGCUCCUAGCGCUUCCUGAGGGCUCCAAGCACUCCAGCCGACACCAUAACCACUGUAGACUCCUUCAGAGAGCAAGACAGGAACAAGCUCUUAUAGGGGCUCAGUGAUUAUAGCAAGGGAAUAUGCAGAGCAUAGCAAUCCCUUGUAGCAGAUUCCCCCAAUAAGAGACGGCACUCCAAAUUGAGGGUGAAGUAGAACUGACUGUACUGGCACAUACAGCCUCUUUUAUUCACAAUCCACAAACAUAGUACUGCCCACAGGGUUUUGAAAUACAACCAAUCAAUCCGUACAAUACACACAGACACUCCUACACAAAAUCCUCCCCUCUGCCUGUGAUAUGAUUACUGAACACAAUGGUUAAUAUAAUUAUCACAGGCAGAGAAAUACAGUUUUUACAAAAUAUUAAUAACUUCCAAAAUAUACAUGACACAAACAUAAAUAAUUACAUAUUCGAACUCAGCACACUUUAAUUAUAAACAUAUCCAAAAUUCAGCCAAUUCCAUCCAGGUUAAAAAGUUAGCUGGAGGUCCCUUUUUGACCGACCGCAAGCACAUUUUCAUGCCCAAAACAGUUCCAUAGAUUUGGGCUGUGCGGUCGGUCUAUUUCAGGCUGAAAAAACCAAUGGGACUUAGUCUCUGCGGCUGCAAAAUCAUUGUGGGAGAAGGUAAGGCUCAGUGGUGUUCGCUGAACUCAGUCACACAACUAGCCAAUUUCAGUUCCAUGAAUUUGGCUACACACACCGCUGACCGCAUUGAAUAAAAAAAGAUGGCCGCCGCUACGUGUUCGUUUGUCGAAUGGCGGUCCCCCAGCGUUCGGCAAUUUACCUACAGCAGGCUCCCAGCCUGGAAGGUAAAUUGCCUGCACACUUCCAGCUCUGUGCAGUGAAUGGCUCAGUAAGCCCCAAUUGCCGAACCAUAAGGGAAAAAGCCAUUUAAAAGUUAUUUCCAAAGUCUGGGGACAUUGGGGACACCAUCUUAAAGGGGCAGUGUCCCAAACAAGUCUGGGGACACAGAUUUAAAAGGGGCAUUGUCCCAAAUUUUCGCCAUGCCCUAAAAUGGUUCUUAAAGGGCUAGCAGCACCAUACAAAUCCAAUAUGCCCAAAUCAUGUCUUUAAAGGGCAAUACAUCCCAGGGGCCAUAGUCACAUGGCAGGAGGCUGGCAAUCCGUCUUCUCCAAUGCCCAGUGGCGAGGUCGGUUUCGCCACAAUAACUAAUAAGGGACGCUUUCUCUCUCUCUCUAUAUAUAUAUAUAUAUAGGUGUUUAAUAAGGGACUCUCUCUCUCUCUAUAUAUAUAUAUAUAUAUAUAUAUGUAUAUGUAGGUGUUUAUAUAACUAAUAAGGGACUCUCUCUCUCUCUAUAUAUAUAUAGGUGUUUAUAUACAGUUGCAAGAAAAAGUAUGUGAACCCUUUGGAAUGAUAUGGAUUUCUGCACAAAUUGGUCAUAAAAUGUGAUCUGAUCAUCAUCUAAAUCACAACAAUAGACAAUCACCGUCUGCUUAAACUAAUAACACACAAAGAAUGAAAUGUUGCCAUGUUUUUAUUGAACACACCAUGUAAACGUUCACAGUGCAGGUGGAAAAAGUAUGUGCACCCCUAGACUAAUGACAUCUCCAAGAGCUAAUUGGAGUGAGAUGUCAGCCAACUGGAGUCCAAUCAAUGAGAUGAGAUUGAAGGUGUUGGUUACAGCUGCCCUGCCCUAUAAAAAAACCACACACCAGUUCUGGGUUUGCUUUUCACAAGAAGCAUUGCCUGAUGUGAAUGAUGCCUCGCACAAAAAGAGCUCUCAGAAGACCUACGAUUAAGAAUUGAUGACUUGCAUAAAGCUGGAAAGGGUUAUAAAAGUAUCUCCAAAAGCCUUGCUGUUCAUCAGUCCACGGUAGGACAAAUUGUCUAUAAAUGGAGAAAGUUCAGCACUGCUGCUACUCUCUCUAGGAGUGGCCGUCCUGUAAAGAUGACUGCAAGAGCACAGCGCAGACUGCUCAAUGAGGUGAAGAAGAAUCCUAGAGAGUCAGCUAAAGACUUAAAAAAGUCACUGGCAAAUGCUACCAUCCCUGUAAGCGAAUCUACAAUACGUAAAACACUAAACAAGAAUGGAUUUCAUGGGAGGAUACCACAGAGGAAGCCACUGCUGUCCAAACAAAACAUUGCUGCACUUUUACAGUUUGCACAAGAGCACCUGGUUGUUCCACAGCAGUACUGUUAAAAUAUUCUGUGGACAGAUGAAACCAAAGUUGAGUUGUUUGGAAGAAACACACAACACUAUGUGUGGUGAAAAAAAGGCACAGCACACCAACAUCAAAAUCUCAUCCCAGCUGUGAAGUAUGGUGGUGGGGGCAUCAUGGUUUGGGGCUGCUUUGCUGCAUCAGGGCCUGGACAGAUUGCUAUCAUCAAAGGAAGAAUGAAUUCCCAAGUUUAUCAAGACAUUUUGCAGGAGAACUUAAGGCCAUCUGUCUACCAGCUGAAGCUCAACAGAAGAUGGGUGUUGCAACAGGACAAUGACCCAAAGCAUAGAAGUAAAUCAACAACAGAAUGGCUUAAACAGAAGAAAAUACGCCUUCUGAAGUGGCCCAGUCAGAGUCCUGACCUCAACCCGAUUGAGAUGCUGUGGCAUGACCUCAAGAAAGCGAUUCACACCAGACAUCCCAAGAAUAUUGCUGAACUGAAACAGUUCUGUAAAGAGGAAUGGUCAAGAAUUACUCCUGACCGUUGUGCACGUCUGAUCUGCAACUACAGGAAACGUUUGGUUGAAGUUAUUGCUGCCAAAGGAGGUUCAACCAGUUAUUAAAUCCAAGGGUUCACAUACUUUUUCCACCUGCACUGUGAAUGUUUACAUGGUGUGUUCAAUAAAAACAUGGCAACAUUUCAUUCUUUGUGUGUUAUUAGUUUAAGCAGACUGUGAUUGUGUAUUGUUGUGAUUUAGAUGAUGAUCAGAUCACAUUUUAUGAUCAGUUUGUGCAAAAAUCCAUAUCAUUCCAAAGGGUUCACAUACUUUUUCUUGCAACUGUAACUAAUAAGGGACUAUCUCUCUCUCUCUAUAUAUAUAUAUAUAUAUGUGUGUGUGUUUAUAUAACUAAUAAGGGACUCUCUCUCUCUCUAUAUAUAUAUAUAGGUGUUUAUAUAACAAGGCUCUCUCUCUAUAGGUGUUUAUAUAACUAAUAAGGAACCCUCUCUCUCUAUAGGUGUUUAUAUAACUAAUAAGAUACACACUCUCUCUCUAUAUAUAUAUAUGUGUGUGUGUUUAUAUAAAUAAUAAGAGAUUCUCUCUCUCUCUCUCUCGCUAUAUAUAUAUAGGUGUUUACAUAACUAAUAAGGGACUCUCUCUCUCUCUCUCUCUCUAUAUAUAUAUAUAUGUGUUUACAUAACUAAUAAGGGACUCUCUCUCUCUCUCUCUAUAUAUAUAUAGGUGUUUACAUAACUAAUAAGGGACUCUCUCUCUCUCUCUAUAUAUAUAUAGGUGUUUACAUAACUAAUAAGGGACUCUCUCUCUCUCUCUCUCUCUCUAUAUAUAUAUAUAGGUGUUUACAUAACUAAUAAGGGACUCUCUCUCUCUCUCUAUAUAUAUAUAUAUAUAUAGGUGUUUAUAUAACAAGGCUCUCUCUCUCUAUAGGUGUUUAUAUAACUAAUAAGGUACACACUCUUUCUCUCUCUCUCUCUCUCUAUAUAUAUAUAGGUGUGUGUGUUUAUAUAAAUAAAAAGGCUCUCUCUCUCUCUCUCUCUCUCUCUCUCUCUCUCUCUCUCUCUCUCUCUCUCUCUCUCUCUCUAUAUAUAUAUAUAUAUAUAUAUAAGGCAGGGCCUGAAGUUGUGGGAGGGGCUUGGUUCCCCUUCUUAAGGAGCUCCAGCCCUUCACCUGCUACCGGCUCAGGUCUUGAGAUUUGCAUAACCGCACUUCCGGUCCGUGCAAAUCUCCUCUGUCACAGGCUGAACCCCGAGGAUACACUUACCUGGUCCUGUUGCUCCGUUUCAGCUUACAAGAUAUUCCCUGUCUCCCCGGCGUCCCCGCAUUUCGGCUUAUCCGCAUAAGCGACCGGCGGCUGGUGCCGUUUUCAGCAAACCGUAAGUCACGGCUGCCGUCGGGUGGCGGUCGCGGUCGAUCCGCGUCAUCUUGGGAUACCACUAUCCAAAUACGGAGCUUAUGUUACGUCACGUUUUUUGAAUAUUUGUCGGGAAUUAUUGCACGUACGCUGGGCAAUUCGUUUUCGAUUCUUGAUAUCGUUUAAUUCAUUUGCUAUUUAUAAGUACUUGUAAGCUGGCUAUAAAUUGUGCUUAUGUGAUACAAUACACUCAUUAUUCAUUCGUUUAACUGCAUUAGUAAUAUCAUUGGGCACUUUAGCUGGGUUACGUCGACCCCUUGUGGUCAUUCUAUAUUAUGACAUAUUGUGCAAAAUUACACAGGUUGUGUUACACAUAUAAUAUCAAGUUUUAAAGCAGCUAUAAUGACUGGCCUUUACACCUGCAUUCAGGCUAUAUUACUUGUGGGUCUGGCAUGAGGCAUUCCGUAUACUACAAACAAUCAAGAUGAGGCUUUUUUUUUGUUUGUUUUUUUGUUAUGUGACACAUAAAAUUCUUAAAACACGUACAGUUUUACAUGUCAUUUCUUCAUGUUUCAACUAGCCACUUGAGGUUGCAUAGCCAGUAUUCUUACGUGUUACUUCUACAUUUAUAGGCUAGGCCAUCAACGCAGCCUUGUGGGGAUUGGGGUAUCAUCCACAUGCUUACUCGGGUCUUAGAAUGCAAGAAUUUGCAAACAGCCAUGGCAGAUCCGGACGCUAUUGACCAACUGAUACAGGAAGAGAUUGACCAAGGAUUUGUCAUUGGACCUUUUGACUCUCCACCAUUUGCGGUAUGGAGAACUAACCUCAUAGGUCUGGUCACUGGUAAAUCCUCAAACAAAAAAAGGUUGAUUCUGGACCUCGCUGCUCCCCAUGCAUCAGCUACACCAAGUCUUAACUCACUUAUUCCGUCUGAAGAGUUUUCGCUGCAAUACGCUACUAUAGAUAAUGCCAUCACGGCCAUCCUCUCAGCAGGAAUAGGCGCUUGGCUUAGUAAGACGGACAUAGUGAAUGCUUUUAAACUACUCCCUAUUCAUCCAUCCCUGUGGCAUUUACAUGGUGUUAAAUGGCAAGGGUUAUAUUAUUUUUUCACGCGUCUCACAUUCGGUUCAAAGAGCAGCCCACGUAUUUUUGAUAUGUUUGCUGAGACGUUGUGUUGGAUAUUGCUUAACACCUGUAGAUGCCCCACCAUUAUUCAUUAUCUGGAUGAUUUUCUUUCCAUAGAAAGCAACCUCUUACCUCCCAGUAGCCUCCAGGCCACGACACAACUUUUUACACAACUUGGAGUCCCGAUUUCACCAACUAAGACGGAAGGUCCCGAUACGGUCAUCAAUUUCCUGGGGGUUGUGCUGGAUUCAGUACACAUGCAGGCUAGCCUCCCCAGGGAAAAGAUUGAACGUAUACUGACCACCAUUGACUUUUACUUAACCGAACAGUCCUGCAGCAAAAAGGAAUUGCAAUCCCUGUUAGGUUCUCUUAAUUUUGCCAUGAAAAUUAUUCCUCAAGGACGGGCUUUUAUAUCCCGACUACUCAGUCUAUUCCCUAGGUUUCAGACCGACUCCUCUCGUAUAAUGUUAGAUGGGCAUGCCACCGCUGACUUACGCAUGUGGAGGGAGUUUUUACGACACUGCAACGGGAAGAGCUUAUUCAUACCAGUGUUAUCAGAUGAGUCUGUUUCUAUUUGGACAGAUGCUGCAGCCACUUCCGGUUUUGCCGCAAUUUUUGGCAAUCAGUGGAUGUGGGGCAACUGGCCAAAGGAAAUUGCAGAGAUACCAGAGUUCAAGGACACAUCUGCGUUAUUUGAACUUUAUCCCAUUGUUGCAGCAGCGGUAAAAUGGGGAGCUAUCUGGUCAGGGAAGUCGGUGCGGUGCUUCUCGGACAACAUGGCAACAUGCCAUAUUGUUAACAAGGGACGUUCCGCUUCCCUGGCCAUCAUGCGGUUUGUUAGAAAUCUCACAUGGCAAGCAGCGAAAUACAGUUUUUUCCUGAAUUGUGUACAUGUUCCUGGGAUUCUCAAUGUUGCCGCUGACCAUUUAUCCCGAUCUCGUUUUCAGGAGUUCCGGGCGGCCCUACCCACAGCGGCCUUAAUACCCACUCCCGUACCACAGUGGCAGGAGAUGAUAUUGGACUAAACCGAUUACUCGCUCACGGAUAUCAUCUCUCACAAUUAGGGCUUUCUGUAAACACUAAAAAGGUUUAUGACAGGGCUUUUCUGUUGUUUAAUAAAUUUGUGAUGGAACACAAAAUUGCUGACAAAUUUGCCAUGAGCACUUGCGUUUAUUUCUUUUUGCCAUCUUCACUUAAAACCAUCAUUUAACACUGUUAAAUUAUACAUCAUGGGUAUUCAACACCACAUCCUCACCACUUGGCCUGAUAAACAACGAUUCCUCUCCUAUUAUCAAGUAAAAUCUGUAUUGAAGGGUAUCAAAGACUCCACCCCAGCACCUACACCUUCCAGAUUACCUAUACAUGACGUUCUAUUUCAGUCACUGUCAAAUCUUUUAGACACUUCACCGUUUGAGACUCGCACAAAUCAGGUCAUAAAAACCGCCAUAUACUUGGCAUUCUAUGGGUUCCUUCAGCCCAAAGAAUUUACCACUACUAAUUAUAACACCCCAAACUUCCUCACAACAGCUAACCUAGUUAAAACACAUGACCACUAUUCACUGUUCCUACACCAUACGAAAACUAGUCACUAUACCCUACUACCCUACUGACAAUAAAUGGUGUCCAGUGGUAGUCUUCGACCAGUACCUCUCAUCCAUCCCAAUGACUCCACAUCAACCUCUACUGGCAUUGUAUGGUAAAACACUGACCAUCAGUAAGUUCAUGCUUUACAUAAGAACAUUGUUAGUACGCUUGGGGCUAAACCCGGCCAAAUAUUCUGGUCAUUCAUUCCGAAUUGGAGCCGCUACUACCGCUUCAAAAAAGAAUAUCCCAGCACACAUCAUUAAGAUUAUGGGCCGCUGGAAGUCCACAGCUUAUACACGAUACAUUCCCCAGCCAGUUCAGGAAGUACGACUAGCAUUCAAGAAUAUGGUGUGAUAAUCGUAUACUGUAUUGUAGGCUGAAUAAACUGUUACAUCUUUUUGCCCUCUUUUAUUUCAGGCCUACUACGUCGUCAGUUACGGCACACCCCAACUGACUUUUCAUGUCCUGUUUUGUUUAAAGUUACUAACUCUACGGCUUUAUGCCUUGACCACAAAUGGAAGGCAGGGCCUGAAGUUGUGGGAGGGGCUUGGUUCCCCUUCUUAAGGAGCUCCAGCCCUUCACCUGCUACCGGCUCAGGUCUUGAGAUUUGUCCCACCCACCUCUCCUCCUUUAAAUCAUUUAAAUCAAUUCUUGAGGUAGGCCCUCUUUUAUUUCAGGCCUACUACGUCGUCAGUUACGGCACACCCCAACUGACUUUUCAUGUCCUGUUUGGUUUAAAGUUACUAACUCCACGGCUUUAUACCUUGACCACAAAUAUAUAUAUAUAUAUAUAUAUAUAUAUAUAUAUAUAUUUUUUAUAACGAAUAAGGGACUCUCUCUCUUUCUCUAUAGGUGUUUAACUAAUAAGGGACCCUCUCUCUCUCUAUAUAUAUAUAUAGGUGUUUAUAUAACUAAUAAGGGACUCUCUCUCUCUCUCUCUCUCUCUCUCUAUAUAUAUAUAUAUAUAUAUAUAUUGUAGCGGAUGGCAUUGGGCUGUCCUCAGAAUUAUGUAUAUUCGUAUGUUUUCGGUUUAAUUUUGCCAUGUGUAUGUCAAGGGUAUGCAGCUUUCACUGAUUGUUCGGUAAAAUCACUCCAGUUAUUAUGCGAGUGAAACUACCGAACAAUCAGACCACCCCAGGAAUAAAUGUGCCUCCAAUUACCGUUCACAACAAAGUUGCAAACGGGUAAUUGGCAAUUCGUGCAGUGUGUACUUUGUCCUCUGGUUGGCCUCCAUUCGGGAGACGAACACGUGGCGGCGGCCAUCUUAAACUCCCGAACAGCGGUGUUUUGCCGUUGAGUGCCUGGAACCCAAAUCGGACACUCAGUUAGGCAAACACCGCUGAGACCUCCACACUGCUGCCAAUUCGUGUAAAAACUACCGAACGGCUUCCUGUUCGGUAGAAGAACCCCACGAACAAUGGGAUUUACCCGAAUCCUCCCCAGCUCUCAUAACCCAAGCCAUUCAUGGGUUUCAUUCCCUUUUCUGUGACCACUGGGCCAAAAUGUAUGGAACCUUUUUCGGCUGUUAACCCCAGCGCGGUCGGUCUUUUUAGUACCUCCAGGAAUUUCCCGAACCUAUGGUCCGAUCCUUGUGAUUUUUGGAUAUGUGUCUCACCCAGAUCAGGGCUACCAGGGGAUGUAAUAUUUAAAGGGGUACUCCUAGGUUUAGGGGUACAUCCAGAAAACAAGGGGGACUGUGUCCUGCAUAAUGGGAUUAUGUGUCAUCCUAAGGGGAGGGGAUGUGUGGGUGGCAACUCAUGUAUGAUUGGUGUAUUGUGCAAUUACUGUCAAUCCCUCCCUUGCAUGGGAGAAUGCUUUAAAAGAAGGUUGUGUGAUUAAAAGUUCAGUUCUGCUCCUGAUGCUGUGUGUCGUCCAGUCAUUGGGAUUGAUGUUGGGAUAUUAUUGGAUUGUCUUGCCUGCUGGAAUUAUUGCCUUAUGGAGCAGUAUUACCGUCAAUUCGUGUAAGAACUACCGAACGGCUCCCCGUUCGGUAGAAAGAACCCUGCAAACAAGGGGGUUUACCCAAAUCCUCCCCAGUCUCCAUAACCCAAGCCAUUGGCCCUUUUAUGUGACCGACCGCAGGGCCAAAAUGUAUGGAACUCCUUUCGGCUGUUAACUCUGUCUUUUUAUUACCUCCAGGAAUUUCCCGAACCUCUGGUCUGAUCUGGGUGAUUUUUGGAUAUGUGUCUCACCCAGAUCAUAUGUUUAGGGGUACAUCCAGAAAACCAGGGGAACUGUGUCCUGCAUAAUGGGAUUAUGAGUCAUACUAAGGGGAGGGGAUGUGUGGGUGGCAACUCGUGUAUGAUUGGUGUAUUGUGUAAUUAUUGUAAAUCCCUCCCUUGCAUGGGAGAAAGCUUUAAAAUAAGGUUGUGUGAUUAAAAGUUCAGUUCUGCUCCUGAUGCUGUGUGUCGUCCAGUUAUUGGGAUCUGUAUGGGGAUAUCCGUGGAUUACCUUGCUUGCUGUGAUUAUUAUUCUAUGGUAUUUUAUUACUUGUUUCUGAGCCUCACUGGGAUCUUUAGUGGAGUUAACCUGUGAAAGAGCAGCUCUUCGAUAUAUAUAUAUAUAGGUGUUUAUUUAACUAAUAAGGGAUUCUCUCUCUCUCUAUAGGUGUUUAACUAAUAAGGGCCUUGUAACGACCCCCUACCAUGUUGCCUGGGAACCUCUACCUUCUGUUUGUUUUUGCCAUCAUCCACAUUGUCUGUACCUAAAGAACAAAGACUAUGUCUGGCCCUUUAACUGUUUUGUACAAAGGAUUGAUACGUUUGAUAUGGCCCUUCGGAUACAGCCGAAGUGGCCGCCAUUAGACAAUCGAACAAGUGGCGGCGGCCAUUUUAAUCCAGUCGAACGCGGUCAGCGGUGUGUGCCAUCAAAUCCCUGGAACGUAAAUUGGCCACACAUUGGAACGAACACCGCUGACCUGUACAUUCCCCUACCCUUCGACACUGCGGCUGGAGAGUAAGUCCCAUUCGAAGAUUUGAACACACGUUCGAAUGGGACUUUGUCAUUCUGGUGUAAAAUAGACCUCCAUUAGACAAUUGAACACUGCUGAAACGUAACCCCGGUUUCACUUUGACACUUCGCCUUCGGAUGGGACUUUGUUAUUUUUCAGGGCAGAAAUAGACUGACCGCACAGCCUGGAUCUAUGGAACUAUUUUGGGCAUGCAAACAGGCGUUCAGUUGGUCCAAAGAGACUUUUUAAUAUUUCUGGAACCACUGAACGGAUUGAUACGAAUUUUGAAUAUGUUUUUCCCCAAGUUGUGUUGUUCAUAAAAAUAUAAGUUUUAUUCCUGUGUGAUUAAAAAUCAGAAAGUUAUAAAAAAUGCAUAAAAAGUAUAAGUUUUAGCUUGGGGAUAAUUGAGUAGUGUAACGGCACCCCCAGGCAUAAAAGGGUUAAACCGCCGUUUAGUAGAUCUUCCCUUCCAGAGACACAGGCACAGCUACUGCAGAACACCAAUCCACCGAACAGGAAACUAUACGAAUGCUGUAAACAGCCGAAUAGGAAAAACCAUACGUAUAGGUUUACACUCCUAGCAGUCGAACUCGAACAGCAUACGGUAAAUCCCCCCAAGAACGAGACAAAGCUCCGUGUUGAGGGUCAAGCAGUGAACAGUCAGAGCUGUGGGUUUAUUGUGCUUAUGUACACAUUCUUACACAUUAGUACCACCCACAGGGUUUUGGAACACAACCAAUAAACACAUACAAUACACUCAGACACUCCCACACAAAUUCCUCCCCUCUGCAUGUGAUUCAAUUACCUUACACAAUGGGUAAUGUAAUUUAGCACAAGCAGAGAAAUACAAUUUUUCCACAUUAUUCAUAACUUGAAAAGUAUGCAUCACAUUCACAUAAAACAUUACAUUUUCAGAAUCAGCAUACUCCAAAUACAAACAUACGUCAAAAUCAUACAAAUUGGUCCAGUGGUUCAAAAGAUAGAUCGUAGUCCUUUGUGACCACAGGAAGCAUGGCUUUUCUGUCCAAAACCAGUUCCACAGAGUCUUCUAUCCUGGAGAUAAUUGUGAAGUAAUCCAAUUAUCUCCAAAGACCGAGGCAAAACUCCAUUGAACACAUGGCAGCAAAAAGACAGUAAAAUACAAUAAAAUACACAAGGUUACAUUAAUGACAUAAAAUACAGACAUGCAACAUAUCCCCAGAUAGCUCAGAUCUGAGCGCACAUUAUUACUGAAUGGUGCUCAGACCACAAACACAUACAGUUCAAUUGCCAUGGAGCCAAAGUCUUUCCCAUAGUCUUUCAUUAUACAAAUGGGCUCCAUGGCAUAGCUAUCUGGGGUAUCACUGCUCAAACCGGGCAAGCACCAAAUGACCCGGCUUUCAUGUCUUUGCAGGGGAAAAUCAAGCCUUUUAACAUGGGGCCAUAAUCCAAAGGCAACAGGCGAGCAACCAGGCUUCUCCAAUGCAAUGUGGCGAGAUUGGUCUCGUCACAAGUAGAUACAGUAAGAAACUCAAUUAUAUCCCAAGCAGAGGGGAGGGAAUCUGUGGGAUGUAACUGUUGUCUGAUUGGUUAAUGUCUAAUUACCUGUGGGCGUCUCCCUUGCAGGGGAGCACUGCAUAAAAGCAGAGUGUGUGUCAUUAAACCUCAGUUCUACUUUACCCUUCAAAAUGUAGCUUUGUCUCAUUAUUGAAAGGGAACCUGCUCAGCUAAUCACUAGCUCUUUUAAGAGCUCUAUCUUUCUCUCUCUGCCUGGAUCCAGCUGAUAGAAAGAAGGCUACUCCAUUACUGCACAGCAUCUUGCCGGGAAAAAGGACGUCUCCAACGGCUGAUACCCCCUCUCCACUGGGGUAGCUGUUACAGGACUCUCUCUAUCUAUCUAUCUAUCUAUCUAUCUAUCUAUCUAUCUAUCUAUCUAUAUAUAUAUACGGAGAGAGGUGUUUAUAUAACUAAUAAGGCUCUCUCUCUCUCUCUCUAUAGGUGUUUAUAUAACUAAUAAGGGACCCUCUCUCUCUAUAGGUGUUUAUAUAACUAAUAAGGCUCUCUCUCUCUCUAUAGGUGUUUAUUUAACUAAUAAGUCUCUCUCUCUCUCUAUAGGUGUUUAUUUUACUAAUAAGUCUCUCUCUCUCUCUAUAGGUGUUUAUAUAACUAAUAAGGGACCCUCUCUCUCUAUAGGUGUUUAUAUAACUAAUAAGGCUCUCUCUCUCUCUCUCUCUCUCUCUCUCUCUAUAGGUGUUUAUUUAACUAAUAAGGCUCUCUCUCUCCUAAUAGGUGUUUAUAUAACUAAUAAGGCUCUCUCUCUCUCUCUCCUCCUCUAUAGGUGUUUAUAUAACUAUAAGAGACCCUCUCUCUCUAUAGGUGUUUAUUUAACUAAAUAAGGCUCUCUCUCUCUAUAUGUGUUUAUUUAACUAAUAAGUCUCUCUCUCUCUCUCUCUCUCUCUCUCUAUAGGUGUUUAUAUAACUAAUAAGGGACCCUCUCUCUCUAUAUGUGUUUAUUUAACUAAUAAGGCUCUCUCUCUCUCUCUCUCUCUCUAUAGGUGUUUAUAUAACUAAUAAGGGACCCUCUCUCUCUAUAGGUGUUUAUAUAACUAAUAAGGCUCUCUCUCUCUCUAUAGGUGUUUAUAUAACUAAUAAGGGACCCUCUCUCUCUAUAGGUGUUUAUAUAACUAAUAAGGCUCUCUCUCUCUCUCUCUCUCUCUCUCUCUAUAGGUGUUUAUAUAACUAAUAAGGGACCCUCUCUCUCUAUAGGUGUUUAUAUAACUAAUAAGGCUUGCUCUCUCUCUAUAGGUGUUUAUUUAACUAAUAAGUCUCUCUCUCUCUCUAUAGGUGUUUAUAUAACUAAUAAGGGACCCUCUCUCUCUAUAUGUGUUUAUUUAACUAAUAAGGCUCUCUCUCUCUCUCUCUCUCUCUCUCUCUCUCUCUCUCUCUCUCUAUAGGUGUUUAUAUAACUAAUAAGGGACCCUCUCUCUCUAUAGGUGUUUAUAUAACUAAUAAGGCUCGCUCUCUCUCUAUAGGUGUUUAUUUAACUAAUAAGUCUCUCUCUCUCUCUAUAGGUGUUUAUAUAACUAAUAAGGGACCCUCUCUCUCUAUAGGUGUUUAUAUAACUAAUAAGGCUCGCUCUCUCUCUAUAGGUGUUUAUAUAACUAAUAAGUCUCUCUCUCUCUAUAGGUGUUUAUAUAACUAAUAAGGGACCCUCUCUCUCUAUAGGUGUUUAUAUAACUAAUAAGGCUCUCUCUCUCUCUAUAGGUGUUUAUAUAACUAAUAAGGGACCCUCUCUCUCUAUAGGUGUUUAUUUAACUAAUAAGGCUCUCUCUCUAUAUGUGUUUAUUUAACUAAUAAGGCUCUCUCUCUCUCUCUCUCUCUCUCUCUCUCUAGGUGUUUAUAUAACUAAUAAGUCUCUCUCUCUCUCUAUAUGUGUUUAUAUAACUAAUAAGGGACCCUCUCUCUCUAUAGGUGUUUAUAUAACUAAUAAGGCUCUCUCUCUCUCUAUAGGUGUUUAUAUAACUAAUAAGGGACCCUCUCUCUCUAUAGGUGUUUAUUUAACUAAUAAGGCUCUCUCUCUAUAUGUGUUUAUUUAACUAAUAAGGCUCUCUCUCUCUCUCUCUCUCUAUAGGUGUUUAUAUAACUAAUAAGGGACCCUCUCUCUCUAUAGGUGUUUAUAUAACUAAUAAGGCUCUCUCUCUCUCUCUAUAGGUGUUUAUUUAACUAAUAAGUCCCUCUCUCUCUAUAGGUGUUUAUAUAACUAAUAAGGCUCUCUCUCUCUAUAGGUGUUUAUAUAACUACAAGGCUCUCUCUCUCUCUCUCUCUCUCUCUCUAUAGGUGUUUAUAUAACUAAUAAGGGACCCUCUCUCUCUAUAGGUGUUUAUAUAACUAAUAAGGCUCUCUCUCUCUCUCUCUCUCUCUCUCUCUCUAGGUGUUUAUAUAACUAAUAAGGGACCCUCUCUCUCUAUAGGUGUUUAUAUAACUAAUAAGGCUCUCUCUCUCUCUCUAUAGGUGUUUAUUUAACUAAUAAGUCUCUCUCUCUCUCUAUAGGUGUUUAUAUAACUAAUAAGGGACCCUCUCUCUCUAUAUGUGUUUAUUUAACUAAUAAGGCUCUCUCUCUCUCUCUCUCUCUCUAUAGGUGUUUAUAUAACUAAUAAGGGACCCUCUCUCUCUAUAGGUGUUUAUAUAACUAAUAAGGCUCUCUCUCUCUCUAUAGGUGUUUAUUUAACUAAUAAGUCUCUCUCUGUCUCUAUAGGUGUUUAUAUAACUAAUAAGGGACCCUCUCUCUCUAUAGGUGUUUAUAUAACUAAUAAGGCUCGCUCUCUCUCUAUAGGUGUUUAUAUAACUAAUAAGUCUCUCUCUCUCUAUAGGUGUUUAUAUAACUAAUAAGGGACCCUCUCUCUCUCUAUAUAUAUAUAGUUGUUUAUAUAACUAAUAAGGGACUCUCAAACCGUAAGUUGACCCACCUGUCGCGCCAGGAUUAGUUCCCACAGCGUUCAGCACAGCAUGGGUCCUCACUUUAUGGUUUCAUUUUGUUACCUUAUACUCACCUAGCUGCUCAUGUAAAAUCUGUUGGUUAAAAUCUGUUUUGGUUAAAAUCUGUUCGGUUAAAACUACAAACGAAAUACAAUUUUUCGCCUACACACUGACCCCUACUGGUCAUUCGGUGUACUACAGGCUGCUUAGACAUUAUCGCAUUUCAUGUACAAACCAACGAACCACUGCAUUUUCACCUAGACACUGACCCCUACCGGUCAUUCGGUGUACUACAGGCUUCUCAGAUAUUAUUGUAUUUCAUGUACAAACCAACGAACCACUGCAUUUUCACCUACACACUGACCCCUACUGGUCAUUCGGUGUACUACAGGCAUCUCAGACAUUAUUGCAUUUCAUGUACAAACCAACGAACCACUGCAUUUUCACCUACACACUGACCCCUACCGGUCAUUCGGUGUACUACAGGCUUCUCAGAUAUUAUUGCAUUUCAUGUACAAACCAACGAACCACUGCAUUUUCACCUACACACUGACCCCUACUGGUCAUUCGGUGUACUACAGGCAUCUCAGACAUUAUUGCAUUUCAUGUACAAACCAAUGAACCACUGCAUUUGCGCCUACACACCGACCCCUAUCGGUCAUUCUGUGUACUACAGGCUUCUUAGACGUUUUUGCAUUUCAUGUACAAACCAAUAAACCACUGCAUUUUCACCUACACACUGACCCCUACCGGUCAUUCAGUGUACUACAGGCUUCUCAGACAUUAUUGCAUUUCAUGUACAAACCAACAAACCACUGCAUUUGCGCCUACACACUGACCCCUACCGGUCAUUCGGUGUACUACAGGCUUCUUAGACGUUUUUGCAUUUCAUGUACAAACCAAUAAACCACUGCAUUUUCACCUACACACUGACCCCUACCGGUCAUUCAGUGUACUACAGGCUUCUCAGACAUUAUUGCAUUUCAUGUACAAACCAACGAACCACUGCAUUUGCGCCUACACACUGACCCCUACCGGUCAUUCAGUGUACUACAGGCAUCUCAGACUUUAUUUCACUUCAUAAGCAAACAAACUAACUACAGCAUUUUUGCUUUUAUACUGACUCCUAUCUGUCAAACGGUAUACUACAGGCUUUUCAGACAUAUGGUUAUUCCCCUCAUAACAUUCCCAUUAUAAUUACACAAUAACACUUCCUUACAAAUCAUGCUUGCUAUGAUAUAAUCAUUCCUGCAUACCUGCCUACAUAGGCAUUUAGUUACAUUUACUGACAAUACGCAUGCAUUUACCCAAGAAUGCACAUACUAUUUAAAGCACUAUGCAGGAUUCCAGAGCCUAAUACGGAAUGUUUGCACGCUUAAAAUAUAAGUCCUUCCAAUUAUGUAUUUUCAAAUAUUUGGUUAUUCAGCUGCCAGUCAUGGUUCACUACACUCAUGUUUCGGGGUACAGUUGUAUUCCAUAUCACACAUGAUAUAACACUCCCGACAAGUUAAUUUCCUUCAAACCGGGGCAUUACAAGCAUACAAUAAACAUUGGGACAGAGCACUUUGCUCUAUUAAACUUGCAUAACACACAUAUGGGUAUACGCCUUUAAAUGUCUAUAUUCAAUUUUCAUACAUUGUUUUACCCGUCCGGGAUACAGGUAUUAAUAACCCUUACGACCAGUAAGGGUAUCUAAUCAUACUACCAGGUACAUACACCUGCUCAUGUGGUAUAUACAUACAUUUUCUGUUUCUCCCUGGGUAUAUCCCUAGCGUACUGGCAAUUAGGGACUAUAGGUUUCCAAUAGGUAUUUUCCUUUCUAUACGCCUGUCGUAUAGUGGUCCCGCGAGGCCAACACCCCACCUCAAUGCUCGGAGGCAAACACCCAUGGGGCCACUCAUGAGCUAGCCGCCUCGCGUGGUAUAUAGAGAGGGCCUCACCUGUCACUCCCUUCCCCAUUUUUAUGGUUACAGUCACCGAGAGGCCAACUACGUUUGGUGGCCACAAAAUCCCCUCGCGCCAUUGCAUAGAUAGAGCCUCUCAAGCCACUUGGCAACUAGCAGGGCCUCACCUGUCACCAAACAAAGGAUUAAUUGUUUUGCCAUGCGGCUUUAGCUAGCAAGCCACUACUAGCACACUGUGGGUUCAUAUAAUAAUGGCUAUCUUCAUGUUUUUAGUAUGUAUCAAGCAGGUGGUAAGGAUUUCUCUCUACCUAAGACUCCAGCUAGAGUCAACACACUUUCACUUGGAGAUGUUGCUAGUCCCACAGGACAAUUUUGUCCCAACACAGCGGACGAUCACGUUUCAGGCUCCAGGCUCUAGCACCUCUGGUAGUACGCAGAGAACUACCAGAGACAAAUUGGGUCGUCUCAUUCUCUUUGGCAAAUCCCAGAUUUGCAACAAUUUGGCACAUGUAGUUUCAGUGCAUGCAGACUGUUGCAGAUAUGUUCUCAAUAUGUCAGGGCACAUGCAAAAACCAUGUGUCCCAAUAAAUGUACCCUGAACCUUACUUCACGUCUGUAAACAUUAUGCAUUUCCAGUACUUUCUAAUGCAUCACCCUUCCAGACAUUUAGUUGAUUUCCUAAUCUCAGAAUUUUAAAGGCCUUCCGUACAGGUAUUGCCAUAUACUUUGGGGGAAUCUAGAAUGCCCUAACUUGCAGUCAUCACAGCAGCAUCCAACAUCUGGCAUUACACUCAUGGCCCAAGAAAUGGCAGAAAGAUUUCUACCUGGGCCUCUCCGAUCUACACCAUUUACAGCGUGGCGCAAUCCCAUUGGGAUUGUCACAGGGAAUCUUCCCUCACACUAUAACUGAUCAUAGACUUAUCUGCACCUCACGCCUUGGCUACCCCAUGGUCUCAACUCCUUCAUACCCUCCGAGGAGUUUUCAUUACAGUAUGCCACCAUUGUUCAUACCAUUACAACUAUCACUCAAGCAGGGGGGGAAGCCUGGUUAAGUAAAACUGAUAUCACAAACGCAUUUCAGACUGCCACCAUCCACCCUGCACUGGCACUUACAUUUGCAUUUAUGGGCAGCAGUUAUAUAUUUCUUCUCCCGCUUAACUUUCGGGUCAAGAGCAGCCCACAAUCUUCAAUAUAUUCAUUGAACUCGUUACUGGUUGUGGUUAAACAUAUCCAGAUGCCCCACAGUCAUACACUCCCGAGAUGAUUUCUUGUUGGUCAAAGGGAAUGCCUUUCCCUCUAGAAGCUUCAAGGAACACUUGGGUGUCUGAACACUUGGGUGUCCCAGUAUUCCCUAAGGUCACAGAAGACCCAGACACUAUCGUUACAUUCCUGGGCAUACAACUUGACUCUGCAUCCAUGCCAACAAGUUACCACGUGAGAAAUAGGAACAGUCGCAAUAACACCAAUUACCACCUCCUGCUUGGUACUUGCAAACACAUGGAACUACAAUCCCUACCAGGUUCCUUAAAUUUUGCCAAUGCACAUCAUGCCGCAGGCCCGCUUUCAUCUCAGACCCCUUUGCUUUUUCCUCCCUCCUGAAUGAUGAUCAGGGGCUGUCCCUAGACAACCAAGCCAUGGCAGACCUACACAUAUGAUGGACUUUCUUAACCACAUGUAAUGGUAAACUAUUGUGGCAGCUGCUGUGACAGCCGCCAUGGCAGGGGGGUCAUUUAUGGUCAAGGUCAUGGAUUACAUGAACCUCGCCAACAUAGCCGGGCUCUGACUAAACUGGCCUUGUCCACCAGCACUCAACACGCUUGCUACAGGGUUUUCCACUUAUACAAUACGUUUCAUGUUCGACUAUCACUUAGAUAGCCGGUUUGAGGUUUCACCAUGUAUGGCCUUCGCCUCUUUUUGCCACCUUAAGUUAAUAAUUCUCGCACAACAUGGUUAAACUUUAUCUCACGGGCAUUCAACACUAUACGUAUUUCUCCUUCCCAAACAAGGGUUCCUAUCCUCCUACCCCAUCCAUACCUUACUUAGAGGCAUAGCCAAGCGGACGUUCCCGCUAAAACUAAAUACUGGCCAUAGACAUACAAUGUUCAAACCAUGUCAGAACCACUCGACCAUGCACUUCCGAGCCACGCACCAAUGCAGUUAUCAAAACUGCUACCUAUCUAGCCUUUAACGGCUUUCUCAGGCCAAAACAAUAACUCACUAUCAGCGGCCAACAUCAUAAACAAGAGUGCCUGUUGACCUCUUAUCUUCUAAAACACACAGACCACUAUGUCCGGUCCCUUCCUAAAACUAAUACGAGUCAGAUGGGCGAGCCAGUGCAUAUAACCUACUACCUUACAAGCAAUGCUGGGUGCCCGGUUAAGGUACUGAUUACGUUCUUGGGCACGCCACUAUACGCACCACUGAACCAUUACUGUCGCUGUACGAUACUGUCCUUACCACAGGUAAGUUCAUGCACUAUGUCCACCUACUCAUUCACCGGGCUCGAACUAAACCCUAGCGACUACUCAGGGCACUCCUUUAGGAUAGGAGCAGCUUAUACAGCCUAUAGCCAAGACAUCCCCACACACGUUAAGACACGGGGCCGCUGAGAAUCAUAGGCUUAUGCGACUUACAUACCACAGCCAAUUUGGGAAUUAGUAAGCUUUCAUUAAAAUGUCUAACUGAUGGUUAAUAAAUGCAUUAUGAUCCUGUAUAAUGUUUUGCAUUAAUAUGUCAUGAGUUUUUUGACUAAAUAUACUAUAUACCUGCUGAGUCCAAUGACUUGAGGGUAGACGUACAGGACACAAUUGCCAGGAAUAUAGGGUGAGACAUGUGGAGUGCAGAAGUGUCUGUACUGACCCAAGACCAGGAAGGACAUGACUAUACUGAUGAAUGAUUUUUCCAGUCUUGUGUCUCUGGUCUCAAUGACCACUGAGAUAUCGCCCUAGGUGUAUGAGCGGUAUUCUGUAAUAUCGUGGGAGGCAAUGAAAAGCGAGACAAGAUUAACGUCCUUGCCUUCCAGUAUGUCCUUUAGGUUUCCCGGUACCAUCUGGAUUGGGGGAAUCUCCUUCUUCUAGAACUUGGGACAUACUGAAAUAUAUGUAGGAAUCAUGAGUUCUAUAGGCCAGUAAGCCUUACUUCAGUAGUGGGGAAAGUGAUGGAAACCAUGUUAAAGGAUAGGAUUGAUGAACAUCUAAAAACACAUGGAUUUCAAGAUCAGAGACAACAUGGGUUUACUUCAGGGAGAUCAUGCCAAACUAAUCUUAUUGAUUUUUUUGAUUGGGUAACUAAAAUUAUAGAUCAGGGUGGUACAGUAGACAUUGCUUACCUAGAUUUCAGUAAGGCUUUUGACACUGUUGCACAUAGAAGGCUUAUCAAUAAACUGCAAUCUUUAAGUUUGGAUUCAAAUAUUGUUGAAUGGGUAAGGCAGUGGCUGAGUGACAGGCAACAGAGGGUUGUAGUUAAUGGAAUAUAUUCGAAGCUUGGACUUGUCACCAGUGGUGUACCUCAGGGAUCUGUACUUGGACCCAUUCUCUUUAAUAUUUUUAUUAGUGAUAUUGCAGAAGGUCUUGAUGGUAAGGUAUGUCUUUUUGCUGAUGAUACUAAGAUAUGUAACAGGGUUGAUGUUCCAGGAGGGAUAAGCCAAAUGACAAAUGAUUUAGGUAAACUAGAAAAAUGGUCAGAAUUGUGGCAACUGACAUUUAAUGUGGAUAAGUGCAAGAUAAUGCAUCUUGGACGUAAAAACCCAAGGGCAGAGUACAGAAUAUUUGAUAGAGUCCUAACCUCAACAUAUGAGGAAAGGGAUUUAGGGGUGAUUAUUUCUGAUGACUUAAAGGUAGGCAGACAAUGUAAUAGAGCAGCAGGAAAUGCUAGCAGAAUACUUGGUUGUAUAGGGAGAGGUAUUAGCAGUAGAAAGAGGGAAGUGCUCAUGCCAUUGUACAGAACACUGGUGAGACGUCACUUGGAGUAUUGUACACAGUACUGGAGACCGUAUCUUCAGAAGGAUAUUGAUACCUUAGAAAGGGUUCAGAGAAGGGCUACUAAACUGGUUCAUGGAUUGCGGGAUAAAACUUACCAGGAAAGGUUAAAGGAUCUUAACAUGUAUAGCUUGGAGGAAAGACGAGACAGGGGGGAUAUGAUAGAAACAUUUAAAUAUAUAAAGGGAAUCAACACAGUAAAGGAGGAGACUAUAUUUAAAAGAAGAAAAACUACCACAACAAGAGAACAUAGUCUUAAAUUAGAGGGACAAAGGUUUAAUCGGGUCUCAGAUGAACUCCUGUUCCAAAAAUAUCUGAGCCCUGAACACAUGGAGUACAUUCAUUAUAUAGUAAUAUAACUCCUCCCAUAAUUAGCUACGCCCAAACAUACCCUUAAACUCGUCCAUCCGGUCUAACCAUGUGGCUCAUCUGAAACAAAGGAGAAGGGAGCGUAAUUCCAGUUCCUGCAUUCCUGCACAUGCUCAGUACAUUGAUGACAGUAUCUUAGCUACAUGUAACUAACUAACUGAUACUACAAACACAUGUACCUACAUAUGCCACGUGGCAAUCUUGGCCUACUAAACUUUUAUUUUACUGGAAUUCCAUCACAUUCCCCCAUUUGAUGCUUCUGAUUUAAAAUAAUUCCAGAUGCAUCACCAAUCAUAGUUUGCCAACACCUCUUGUUACGGUACCCUCAGCAUCAGAUGCACAAACCGCCAUUUAGUAAAUCCUCCCCUCUCGCAGUAACAUAGGCUGUAUGCGUAUCAAGUACAAUCAUACAAACCGCAAGCAGGGGAACGCUGUAAACUCACGAACGGGAUCCGCGGGGGCACUUCACUUCACGAGCUCCAAACUCACGAAUCGCCAAUAGUAGCCGAACACAUAUAUCUCCCAAGUGACUAAUAAUCCCAUCCAGCAGUCUCUAGUCGUCGGUAAUAAUUCCCCCCAAUAACGAGACCAAGCUCCGCAUUAAGGGUAAAACAUGAACUGGCUUUACUGUGGACUACCUGCCCGUAUUUAUGCAGGUCUCCCACUUGGUGGACACUCCCCUAGGGGACCAAAUGGGAGACUGUAACAAUAGACAGACAUAUGGCAGGUUAGGACCCACAGACACAGAAUAUUCCCAGCAUGCAUUAGUAUGUCCUCCCCUCUGCCCUGGAGAUAAUUGAGAAGUAAUUAAAUCAUCUCCAGGACAGAGGCAAAUCGCCAUUUUAAAUUAAACACAUAAAAACACAUAAAAAUACAUAACUUUACAUUUGUCGAAUGUUACCCAUUCGUAUCACGUAUCCCCAGAUAGCCUGGAUCUGAGUGCAUAUUAUUGGCGAAUAGCGCUCAGAUCCCAUACGCAUAGUUCAAUCGCCAUGGAGUCAAAGUCUAUUACAGUCUUUCGGUAUGCGAUUGACUCCAUGGGAAGGCUAUCUGGGGUAAGUCCAUUCGUGCGUAUAAAACUCUCGAACGGCCAGUGUUCGUAUACUUCCGUCGACCGAGAAGGGAGGUCGGCGGCUUCAGUGGUGUUCGGCAGAAAAAGUGUCAGUUUUUUGUUCCAUGAAAUCCAUGCUGAACACUGCUGGUCUUUCGCAUGGUUUAAAAUGGCUGCCGCCUCGUGGUCGACAUACGAACGACGACCACCCUGUAUUCGGUUUUAAUUGAGAAGUGUCUGCGGUUAACCACAAAGUUCUAAUUGGGAUCAAGAGGUUAACCAGCAGCACAUUUUCUUCUGGGUGGCCGUCCGUUCGGUAGUUUUGUUCGGCGGAAAAGUCAAUUCACUGAACAGGGGCAUACGAACGGGUAAUUCCACGAAAAGGCAAAAUAGACGAACCAGCAAUCCCAGUAUAUACAGAUGGAUCUGUCACACCUCUCAAGUAGCCAUGAACCAGAACAGACCUCGUAAGCAUCCUUAGCAUAUUCUUUUAGCAUUCCCCAUCCUGAAUAUGCUCUCUCUGGGCUAAAGGUUCAUAUUUACAGACAGCCAUUACAUGGGCAGCUGUCUUCCUCUCAAUAAUGCUGUGUAUAACACUUUGUAUGGACCUGACCACUAAUGGAAUUAAGCAGGGCAGAAAGAGACAUAGGAAUAUAAUAAAUACUACUCCUUCUACUAAUGCCUUAAUCCCUCCAAGCUGCUCAUACCAACUUCCAAACCAACUACUUGGGUUAUACCCACUCCAGACCUGAGUAGGUACAUGUGCAAGUUUAACCAUGUGACUGGUAAGUUCAGCCACUGCCUGCCCUUCCUCAUCUAUGUGCAGACAACAGUUACUUAGAUUAAACUUCCCGCAUACACCUCCCUGUACUGCUAAUAAGUAGUCCAGAGCUAAUCUAUUUUGAUAGAUGGCUGAUCUCAUUCGAGUAUUAUGUUUAGCAAGGAGAUUGAGCGCUUGUGCUGUCUCAUUGGUGAUAAUCUCAACCACCGCCUGUAGUCUUAUAAUACGAUUAAGCAUAUAUAUUGGGGUUCUAUAUCCAUAAGUACCAUUGUAGCGGAUGGCCAUGAGCUGCCCUGGAUCUUGUAUUAUGUUUAACCUGUAUUCGUCUAUUUGCUAAAUGUAUAGGCAGUAAGGGAAUGCAUUCGUGUAACAUAGCAAAUUUCUAUGUGCUAAAUAUAUUGUAUUCGUCUGAAUGUUAGGUAGUUUCAUUCCCUUAGUUUGUUCGAAUGAAACUACCGAACAGUCAGACCUCCCCUGUGUGAAGUGUGCCUUCAAUUACCCGUUGCAACAUUGUUGCGAACGGGUAAUUGACAAGCUGUGUAGCAAUCCUUUGUUCUCGGGGGUGGCCACCAUUCGGGAAAAGAACACGUGGCGGCGGCCAUCUUAAACUCCCAAACAGUGGUGUUUUGCCGUCGAGUGUCUGGAACUCAAAACGGACACUCGACUAGGCGAACACCGCUGAGACCUCCAUUAGCCCGGUCCGUUCGGUUCCAAACUACCGAACGGCCCCUCGUUCGAUAAGCAUAAUCAACCGAACGAGGGGAUUCAGGCGAACCCUUCCCAGCCUCUAUAGCUGGAGGCUUUCAGGUACUUCAUUCGCCUUUUCCAGGACCGACCGCAGGGCCCAAUCUCAUGGAGCUCAAUUCGGCUAGUUCAUCCAGUGCGGUCGGUCAUUUUAUUCCCUCCAUGAAAUUCCCGAACCCCUGGUCUGAUCUGGGUGAUUUUUGGAUAUGUUGUUCACCCAGAUCAGGGCUACCAGGGAAUGCAUAAUUUAAAGUGGUACCCCUAGGUUUAGGGGUACAUCCAGAAAUGGCGGGAAUUGCUGUACUGGAUAAGGGGAUUAUGAUGCCGGCUGAGGGGAGGAGAUGUGUGGGAGGUUACCAGGACAGGAUUGGCUAUUGUGUUAAUGAAUGUAAUCCCUCCCUUGCAUGGGAGCAUGCUUUAAAAGGCCACUGUGGAAUAAAGCUUUCAGUUCUGCUCCUGAUGCUGUGUGUCGUCCAGUCAUUGGGAUUGCUGUGGGGAUACUAUUGGAUUAUUUUGCCUGUUGGAAACCUUGCCUGUGGAUUUAUAAUUUACUUGUUCCUGAGCCUCACUGGGAUCUUAAGCGGAGAUAAUCUGUGGAAUAUUGUAUCUCCGCUACAUUGGUUGGCAGCGCUGGGAUCCAGACUCACAGAGGAACAAGCAUAAAUGGAGUACGGAUGGAGAUUGAUUUUGCUACGCUAAAACGCUCCACGUUAAAGGACCUCCUGGAGGCAAGGGGUAUCCAAGCCAGCAACAAGAAGAAAGCGGUACUCAUUACUGAACUCAUGGCAGAGUACCGAAUGGAUGGCGAUUCGGUUCCCGAACAGGGGGAUUCGGGAGAAACACAGGAACAGAUGGAGUUCCAGAGGCAGCUACAAUUUAGGCUGUCUUUUUAUGGGGAACACCCUUCAGCGGAAAUUAUUUCCAAGACCAUGACAGAGGUCCAGGAAUUUAUCUUAAGAAAACAGACAACAGCAACCCCAGAACGCAGCUCUGCAGUAAAUAUGCCACAAGAAGGUAAGCCUAAAAUACCAUACCAGGCUUUUAAAACGUAUGUGGAGGCAGAGGAAGAUAUAGACGCUUUCCUGCAAGAUUUUGAGAGACUGUGUACACUGCAUAGAAUCAGCGCAGAGGACUGGGUACCUAUUUUGGCAAGACGGUUAACUGGGAGGGCAGCAGAGGCAUAUCGUACUGUACCCAAUGAGGAAAUCCGGAAUUACAAUAAAGUAAAAUAAAUUAUACUGGCCCGGUAUGCUAUAACACCAGAAGCAUACUGGCGGAGAUUCCGGGAUUUAAAGAAAGUGUAAAAGGACUCACAUGCAGAGUGGGCAUGCAGGUUACAAAGGGCAGCACUCGGGUGGGUGCAAGCUAGCAAGGCACGGUCCAUGGAGGAUGUAAUACAGAUGAUGCUGAUGGAGCAAUUUUAUGAGGGAGUAACCAAUGAUGUCCAGUAGUGGGUAAGGGACAGAAACCCUACCUCCCUCACCGAAGCUGCCAGGAAGGCAGAUGAGUACCUGGACGCACGCAGGCAGCAAAAACCUGCAGCUCCAAAAGCCGCAUUCAAAACCUUUGGGGGAACCAACUACACCCCAACUCCACCGAGGCAACUACCACCACCACCACCACCGCCCGCUGCACAGCCACGUUUCUGCCAGCCCACUUCUGGGCCCUGUCACAACUGCCAGAAAUGGGGGCAUUAUAAAAGGGAAUGUCCUCAACUACGAGAUCGUACCUCGUGGAUCCGUCCUGGCCCGCCACCACCACCGAGGGCCGCCACCGCACACCGCUACCAGGACAUCAUUGCAACCCCGUAUGGCUCAGCAGUACCUAUUACCACUGUGGAGCAAUGGGAGGUAUUGCACGAGGCCGAUCCGGUACAGGCGAAUGCGGACAACACACAGCACCACAGACAAACAGUGUACCUGGAGGGCAAAGCAGUGCAAGGACUUCGGGACUCUGGGGCCACUAUUACUCUGGUCAAAAGCCAUUUGGUGGUAGCCGUUAGGGUAGCCGGGGGAGCUGUAUACCGGCUACCCACAGCCAGGGUUCACUUGCAUUGGGUAGCAGGGACGGGAGAAGUGGAGGUGGGGUUGAUGCCACAACUGCCCGCGGAAGUUUUGUUGGGCAACGAUUUGGGGAGGCUCACAUCAGCUUUUGAGCCCCAGAUCCCGGUCACAGGAGAGGCUCACCCUGUGGUCACUAGACAACAGGCCCGCACCCAGGCUCCAUCCACACUGCCGGAGGUUCAGGUAAGAGAUCCUUCACCUUCCCUAGACUGUGUCCCCUGGGCCCCUCCUAACGAAUUUGCAGCCGAGGUAGUGACCGACCCCACAUUGCAGGUGUAUAAGGACAAGGUGACAGCAGACGCCCCAGGGGGAGAUGGCGAAAGGUUUAUCUGGGACAAACAGCUGUUGUACAGAUAGCCGGGUCAGACCCGAUCGUGAUGAGACAGUUGGUGGUACCACAGCGGUACCGAACAGAGUUACUCCGGAUAGCACAUGACAUUCUGCUAUCCGGACAAUAAGGGGUCAGCAGGACCCGGCUCAGGUUAACACAAAGCUUCUUUUGGCCUGGAGUUAGCCAGGAAGUGCGCAGGUAUUGCAACACUUGUGAUACAUGCCAAAGGGUGGGGAAGAGGGGGAACCGGCGCAAGGCCAAGCUACACCCCCUCCCUAUAAUUGAGGAACCCUUUAGUAGGGUAGCGGUCAAUUUAAUAGGACCCCUCAACAAAGCGAGCCCGUCAGGCAAAAGAUUUAUCCUGACAGUGGUAGACUAUGCCACUAGGUAUCCAGAGGCAGUGCCCCUGACGAAUAUACAUGCUGAAACGGUAGUGGAAGCCCUCAUGCAAAUAUUCUCCCGGGUGGGACUCCCCAGGGAGAUUGUCUUGGAUCAGGGUACCCAGUUCACCGCCGAAGUCACGCAGCGCCUCUGGAAGUUCUGUGACAUUAAGCCUGUCAUUAGUUCCCCUUACCACCCCCAGACUAAUGGGCUCUGCGAACGUUUCAACGGUACAUUGAAACAGAUGCUCCGAACCUUCGCAGAGACCCACAAGAACUGGGAGAAAUUCCUGCCUCACCUCCUCUUUGCUUAAAGGGAGGUGCCGCAGGAAUCCACAGGGUUUUCCCCAUUCAAAUUAUUGUUUGGCCGCAGGGUACGGGGGCCCUUAGAUUUAAUUCGAGAGCACUGGGAGGGAGAACGGAGCACCGACGAUACUCCCAUCAUACCGUAUGUGUUGGCAUUCCAAGACCGCCUGGAGUCCCUAACCCAGACGGUACGAGAAAAUUUGCAGGCGGCUCAGACCCGCAAGCGCACAUGGUAUGAUUGGGGCGCCAGGGACCGUAGCUUUCAGGUCGGGCAGAAAGUGUUAAUUUUAAAACCUGUCCGACACGAUAAGCUGCAGGCCGCCUGGCAAGGCCCUUAUAAAGUGGUGGAACAAAGGUGUGACACCACUUAUAUAAUAGGCUCUUGCGUUGGUACUGGAGGGCGACGCAUGCUCCAUGUGAACAUGAUGAAGCCCUACCAGGAGCGCUCCGAGGAAGUGACCGCCAUAUGCGCACCUAACUCGGAGGAGUUCGACAGUCUGCCUCUCCCAAAUCUGCUGGGAGAGGGUCAGUUAUCUGGGGACUUAGGGGAAGUUGCGCUGGGAGACCGGCUGAGCCCACAGGAGCGGAGCGAGGUACAGCAACUAUUGAGGGAGAAGCGAGAUAUCUUCUCCAAUGUACCUGGUUACACUCCUCUGGCCACUCACCGAGUAGACACACCAGGUCAACUUCCCAUGCGUCAGACCCCGUACCGCAUCCCAGAAGCGGUACGGGAAAACAUGCGCAAGGAAAUCGAUGAGAUGCUCCAGCUGGGGGUGAUUGAACCCUCUGACAGCCCCUGGGCUUCUCCGGUAGUGCUAGUACCAAAACGGGACGGAACGACCCGUUUUUGUGUAGACUACCGGAGACUGAAUGAGAAGACGGUAUCUGACGCCUAUCCCAUGCCCAGGAUAGACGAACUACUGGACCGGAUGGCUAGAGGACACUAUCUCACCACUAUUGACUUGUGUAAGGGGUAUUGGCAAAUUCCCUUAGCACAUGACGCGAUCCCUAAGUCGACCUUUGUCACCCCAUUCGGCUUGUACCAAUUUAAGGUCAUUUCAGCGGAUGGUGGACCGCCUCCUGGAUGGGUUCCAAGAUUAUACCUGUGCCUGGCAGGAACACUUGGCCCAUAUAGGAGCGGUCCUAGAUGGGAUUAGGGCAGCUGGUUUAACGCUGAAACCAGCCAAAUGCAGCAGUACAAUACCUCGGCCAUCGGGUAGGAUGUGGCAAGCAGAAGCCAGAACCAGCCAAGGUAGAGGCUGUAGCCCAAUGGCCUACCCCUAGGACUAAGACUCAGGUAUUAGCGUUCCUAGGAACGGCCGGGUACUACCGGAAAUUUGUCCCGAACUAUAGUGCCCUGGCCAAACCCCUCACUGACUUAACCCAUAAGAACCUUCCCCGCCAAGUGACCUGGACCCCAGAGUGUGAGCAGGCAUUCCAACUGUUGAAAGAUGCAUUGACCAAUGCCCCUGUCUUGGCAGCUCCCAAUCCAACUAAACGUUUUCUUGUUCACACAGACGCUUCUAUGUUUGGAUUGGGAGCAGUACUGAGCCAAGUCGGGGCCGAUGGCAGAGAACAUCCCGUGGCUUACAUCAGUCGCAAGCUGUUACCCCGAGAAGUAAGUUACAUCGCCAUUGAGAAGGAAUGCCUGGAUGUGGUGUGGGCCCUAAAGAAAUUGCAGCCGUAUUUGUAUGGGCAAGCCUUUUCCCUGCUCACGGAUCACAACCCGUUGGUCUGGCUAAACCGGGUGGCUGGGGACAAUGCCAGGCUGCUGCGCUGGAGUUUGGCGCUGCAGCCCUUUGACUUUAAUAUCCAGUACUGCCCGGGUAAACAGAAUGGAAAUGCUGACGGGUUGUCAAGACAAACCGACCUGGAGAAAUGAUCCGUGAGCCUCCCCGGACAUCCCCAAGCCGAUCCGUGUUGGAUCAGACUGUGUAUGCCGGCUUGUGGGCAAGGGGGAGCAGUGUAGUGGAUGGCCAUGAGCUGCCCUGGGACUUGUAUUAUGUUUAACCUGUAUUCGUCUAUUUGCUAAAUGUAUAGGCAGUAAGGGAAUGCAUUUGUGUAAAAUAGCAAAUUUCUAUGUGCUAAAUGUAUUGUAUUCAUCUGAAUGUUAGGUAGUUUCAUUCCCUUAGUUUGUUCGAAUGAAACUACCGGACAGUCAGACCUCCCCUGUGUGAAGUGUGCCUUCAAUUACCCGUUGCAACAUUGUUGCGAACGGGUAAUUGACAAGCUGUGUAGCAAUCCUUUGUUCUCGGGGGUGGCCGCCAUUCAGGAAACAAACACGUGGCGGCGGCCAUCUUAAACUCCUGAACAGCAGUGUUUUGCCGUUGAGUGUCUGGAACUCAAAACGGACACUCGACUAGGCGAACACCGCUGAGACCUCCAUCAGCCCGGUCCGUUCGGUUCCAAACUACCGAACGGCCCCUCCUUCGGUAGGCAUAAUCAACCGAACGAGGGGAUUCAGGCGAACCCUCCCCAGCCUCUAUAGCUGGAGGCUUUCAGGUACUUCAUUCGCCUUUUCCAGGACCGACCGCAGGGCCCAAUCGCUUGGAGCCCAAUUCGGCUAGUUCAUCCAGUGCGGUCGGUCAUUUUAUUCCCUCCAUGAAAUUCCCGAACCCCUGGUCUGAUCUGGGUGAUUUUUGGAUAUGUUGUUCACCCAGAUCAGGGCUACCAGGGGAUGCAUAAUUUAAAGUGGUACCCCUAGGUUUAGGGGUACAUCCAGAAAUGUGGGGAAUUGCUGUACUGGAUAAGGGGAUUAUGAUGCCGGCUGAAGGGAGGAGAUGUGUGGGAGGUUACCAGGACAGGAUUGGCUAUUGUGUUAAUGAUUGUAAUCCCUCCCUUGCAUGGGAGCAUGCUUUAAAAGGCCAGUGUGGAAUAAAGCUUCAGUUCUGCUCCUGAUACUGUGUGUCGUCCAGUCAUUGGGAUUGCUGUGGGGAUACUAUUGGAUUAUUUUGCCUGUUGGAAACCUUGCCUGUGGAUUUAUAAUUUACUUGUUCCUGAGCCUCACUGGGAUCUUAAGCGGAGAUAAUCUGUGGAAUAUUGUAUCUCCGCUACAACCAUCUUCUGCCCAAGUAGCCGGUCCAUAAUAAUUAAUAAUACGUUGGGGAGGCCACUCAUCAUCUUCCCAGCUACCUAUAUUCAAAGAUGCUCGCUUCUUUUUAUGAUUCACAUCAUAAACCUUAACUCCCAAGGUCUCUCCUGUUUCGAUUGGCAACAAGAAGAAGGAUGGUUUGAGCAUACCUGGUACACAUGCCCCUUCCCAGUCUUGUGGUAACUCUGAAUAUGCCGCCUUACCACAAAUCCAGUAUAGAUUUGCUGGGGCUCUCCAAUUGGAUGUAGCAGAUAAAUCAAGCCAUACCUCUUUCAAAUUAGUGUAAUUGGCAAAUGGAUUAGUAGGUUCCGAGACAUUUGAAGCUGACCACCAAGUAGUAUCUUUUGUAUUAUCAUUAUAAGCCUUUUGUCCCAAACAUGUUAACUCACCUACAGACAUGUUAUACAUUAUAUACAUUAUCCCUUUCCUAGCUAUACAAACAUGACCUAUAAUAGAGGUUUUUAACCGCAAUUCUGAUUUACCUCUAGUAGUUACUUGAUGAUCAGACUGAGAAAGUAUCUGUUCUUCAUCUGUCUCAGAACCAGGGUACCAUGCCUCCUUUGCUUCCCAUGGCCACUGGUCUCCCAUAUUAGUACCUCCACAUACAAAACAGUUAGUUACAUUAAGACUACCCGCAAUACUCUCAGCUAAAUCUACAAAUAGGUUCUUAACAUUAUGGGGAAUUUUAUCCUCAAUAGAAGGAAUGAAAAAUCUGAUGAGUUUGGGUUGCUACUGUCUCCGUUUCAAUGCCUACAUAUAUAAUAGCCCCAGGAUCCAACCCUGUUCCGUAUAUUUGGAAUCCAAAUAGAUUUCCGAACUUGUCUGUGAAGUGUUGCGGAUUAGAAAUGGUCAUAUGAACACUCCAUAGACUUACAAUAUGGUGAAAGAAAGGAAAGAAACUGCGCUCUAGAUAAGUUUUACAUACAUACACUUGGUGUCCCUUAAUCGGUGUGAGUAAUAUAUCCUCAAAAAAAACACAGAAAGGGAAAUACAAUAGUGCAAUAUGCUAUAACAAGUUAAAAACGGAAAUGAUGUGUAAACAGAGGUAUUUCAAACUCACAUUUGGUAGAGCUAAUCAGGAGCUCUACCUUAACUUGCACGGACGGUACAAUCCCCGUCUCAGGAUAGAAGGUUCAACUUUUCAAUACUCCAUUGAUGUAGUGGCAUAGAUAAAAUGGAAACAGAAAAGAGAAACUCCAAUAGUGUAGCAACUCUGAUUCCAAAUGUAGAGAAAGUAAAUGAAGGUUGUUGUACUCACAUUUGUUAGAGCAGACAACUUGCUCUAGUAUAUAAGGCUUGCAGUGGUAUAAUCCCCACUGAAGGAUAUAUGGUACCAGGAAGUGAUGAGGAAGAUAAAUAAAAUAAAGUAGUAUAUCACUUUAAAAUUAUUUAAUAAUAACAAGUAAUAACAAUAUAGAAAACAAAAAGGGCUAUAAGAAAUAACACUUUACGCGUUUCGCCAGUUCGGCUUCAUCAGAAGUGUAAAAUAAAUGUCCUCAAGUUCACAUGAAUGGGGAUGGCUUCCUGGUGUGUCGUGGAACGCACGCGGCAAAAAAACGGAAGCGACGCGGCGUCCACGUGUGCAUAGAUACCCACCGUGGAACGCACGCGUCACACCGGAAGUGACGUGGCGUUACCACAGGUAGUUCAAGUACAUGCGUUCCAACAGUGGAACGCAUAAUGUUCGCGGCAUGUUUCAAUGGCAAUAAAAGUCUUCCAUGGCAAUUGGAGAUAAUGAAAAUCUUCUUUUGGAGUAGAACCAAAUGGCAGGAAGUGCAAAUUCAUGCGUUCCAACAGUGGGGCGCAUAGUAAUCACAAAGUGAUCUUCUGUUCGCAAAAGUCUCAUAGACAUAGUCCAAGAUUAAAUUCAGAUGUUCAUUUCAUAUAUAUCAGCAUGUAAAUCCAAUUACAUUAAAAAGAGGAAAAAAAACAAAAAAAAAAACAACAUAAGGCAGUAUCCAUCUUCAAAUAAAUAUAAAUAAAUAUACAUAUAUAAAUAUAUAGGAAUAAUAUAUUAAAAAUAAGAAAUAACUAGAGUAAAUAUGAAUAAGACUCUUAAAGGUUACUGGAAUUAAAAUAGGAUAUUUAUAAAAGACAGUAAUGCAUAAAAGAUUAUUACAAAAACCCAAAGAUCAAAAGGGAGGACCCAGGGAUGGAAUGUAUUAAAAUUGGAUAAGAAGCAAUUUAUUGAGCCGAAUGAGAAUUAUAAAUUAUUAUAAAAUAUUUUUAUAAAAAAUUAAACAGAUCAAAUUCUACAUUUAGACCAUCCGGGUGUAAAGUAUUCAUAUUGUAAACCCAUUCCAUCUCUGUGCGUCCAAUUUUCUUGAUGUGAUCGCCUCCUCUCCAAUUAGGUUUUACAGUGGUGAUACCAAUAAAAGUGAGAUUACUAGGAUCAUUAUUAUGCAUGCAGAAGUGUGAAGAAACAGAAUGAUUUUUAAAACCUUUUUCUAUGUUUCUACAAUGUUCGGCUAUUCGUAUUUUUAAAGGUCUAAUAGUUCGUCCUAUAUAUUGGAGGCCACAAGGGCACUCCAAUAAAUAAAUUACAUUUUUAUUUCUUUAAUAUUGUAGGUUUUACCAUUAUUAUUUGAUUUAAAGUUACUUCUCAAUUUAGGCAUAGAUUUAGUUUUUCGACAGGCAACACAUGUAUUACAUUUGUAAAAACCUUUUGUUUCAUUUAAAAAACUGGCCCCUGUAUAUUUUAUCCUUGGUUUAGUAUCAUUUUUUGUGAGGUGCUUCUUUAAAUUUGGUGCUCCCCUAAAAACUAUUUUUGGUUUCUCUGGUAUUAAAUUCUUUAAAAUAGCAUCUUCUUUUAGUAAAUUCCAAUGUUUGUUAAUAAUUUUUUUGAGUUCUCUAUUUUUAUUAUUAUAAUCUAAUAUAAUAGAUAGUGAUAUAUUUUGCUCAGGGCUCGAGUCCUGCAGGAACGCGUGGGAACGGCGUUCCUGCACUUUUUUCACAGCAGGAACGCCGUUCCCCCUGCAGGCACUCAGGGGGUGGCAAAAAAUGCUGCCCCCAAAUGCCCUGUGUUCCCCCUGUCAUGGGGGGGGGGGGGCACCUGAUGGAUUGCCCCCCGGCGCACGGCUCUCUCCCUGUCACACGCGGAGAGGGAGCUGUGUGCUCUCUGCUCCCUCUCGCCGCGCGGGAUGUGUGCUGUUGCUGGGAGCCGGGUUGAUGACGUCAUAUUCCGGCUCCCAGCAUCAGCAGACAUCCCACGCGGCGAGAGGGAGCAGAGAGCACACAGCUCCCUCUCCGCGUGUGACAGGGAGAGAGCCGUCCUCACUGCAGCCCCACUGGACCCCAGGGAAAGGUAGGGAUGCUGGGUGGGUGGGAUAUGUUAAUUUGUUAAUAAUAUUAUUAAUUUGUGUGUGUGGAUGUGUGUUUGUGGAUGUGUGUUUGUGGAUGUGUGUUUGUGGAUGUCUGUGUGUGGAUGUCUGUGUGUGGAUGUCUGUGUGUGGAUGUCUGUUUGUGGAUGUCUAUGUGUGGAUGUGUGUUUGUGGAUGUCUGUGUGUGGAUGUCUGUUUGUGGAUUUCUGUGUGUGGAUGUCUGUGUAUGGAUGUCUGUUUGUGGAUGUCUGGGUGUGGAUGUGUGGAUGUCUGUUUGUGGAUGUGUGGAUGUGUGGAUGUCUGUUUGUGGAUGUGUGGAUGUCUGUUUGUGGAUGUGUUGAUGUCUGUUUGUGGAUGUCUGUUUGUGGAUGUGGAUGUCUGGUUUUGUGGGAUGUGUGUGAUGUGUGUUUGUGGAUGUGUGUUUGUGGAUGUGUGUUUGUGGAUGUCUGUGUGUGUGGAUGUCUGUGGAUGUCUGUGUGUGGAUGUCUGUUUGUGGAUUUCUGUGUGUGUGGAUGUCUGUUUGUGGAUGUCUUUGUUUGUGGAUGUCUGUGUGUGGGAUGUCUGUUUGUGGAUGUCUGUGUGUGGAUGUCUUUGUGUGGAUGUCUGUGUGUGGAUGUCUGUUUGUGGAUGUCUGUUUGUGGAUGUGUGGAUGUCGGUUUGUGGAUGUGUGGAUGUCUGUUUGUGGAUGUGUGGAUGUGUGUUUGUGGAUGUCUGUGGAUGUCUGUGUGUGGAUGUCUGUUUGUGGAUGUGUGUUUGUGGAUGUCUAUUUGUGGAUGUCUGUUUGUGGAUGUGUGUUUGUGGAUGUGUGGAUGUGUGUUUGUGGAUGUGUGGAUGUCUGUUUGUGUAUGUGUGGAUGUCUGUUUGUGGAUGUGUGGAUGUGUGUUUGUAGAUGUGUGUUUGUGGAUGUCUGUGUGUGGAUGUCUGUUUGUGGAUGUCUGUUUGUGGAUGUGUGGAUGUCUGUUUUUGGAUGUGUGGAUGUCUGUGUAUGUGUGGAUGUCUGUUUGUGGAUGUCUGUUUGUGUAUUUGUGGAUGUCUGUUUGUGGAUGUGUGGAUGUCUGUUUGUGGAUGUCUGUAUGUCUGUUUGUGGAUGUGUGGAUGUGGAUGUCUAUUUGUGGAUGUGUGGAUGUCUGUUUGUGGAUUUGUGGAUGUCUGUUUGUGGAUGUGUGGAUUUGUGGAUGUCUGUUUGUGGAUUUGUGGAUGUCUGUGUGUCUGUGGAUGUCUGUUUGUGGAAGUCUGUUUGUGGAUGUCUGUUUGUGGAUUUGUGGAUGUCUGUGUGUGGGAUGUCUGUUUGUGGAUGUCUGUUUGUGGAUGUGGAUGUUCGGUGGGAUGUGUGGAUGUCUGUUUGUGCAUGUGUGAUGUCUGUUUGUGGAUGUCUGUUUGUGUAUGUGUGGAUGUCUGUUUGUGUAUGUGUGGAUGUCUGUGGAUGUCUGUUUGUGUAUGUGUGGAUGUCUGUGGAUGUCUGUUUGUGGAUGUGUGGAUGUGUGUUUGUGGAUGUGUGUUUGUGGAUGUCUGUGUGUGGAUGUCUGUGUGUGGAUGUCUGUGUGGAUGUCUGUUUGUGGAUGUCUGUUUGUGGAUGUCUGUUUGUGGAUGUGUGGAUGUCUGUUUGAGGAUGACUGUUUGUGGAUGUGUGGAUGUCUGUUUGUGGAUGUGUGGAUGUCUGUUUGUGGAUGUCUGUUUGUGGCUUUGUGGAUGUCUGUUUGUGGAUGUGUGGAUGUGGAUGUGUGGAUGUCUGUUUGUGGAUGUGUGGAUGUCUGUUUGUGUAUGUGUGGAUGUCUGUUUGUGGAUGUGUGGAUGUCUGUUUGUGGAUGUCUAUUUGUGUAUGUGUGGAUGUCUGUUUGUGUAUUUGUGGAUGUCUGUUUGUGGAUGUGUGGAUGUCUGUUUGUGGAUGUCUAUUUGUGUAUGUGUGGAUGUCUGUGUAUUUGUGGAUGUCUGUUUGUGGAUGUCUGUUUGUGGAUGUCUGUAUGUCUGUUUGUGGAUGUUUGGAUGUGGAUGUCUGUUUGUGGAUUUGUGGAUGUCUGUUUGUGGAUGUCUGUGGAUGUCUGUUUGUGGAUGUGGAUGUGUGGAUGUCUGUUUGUGGAUGUGUGGAUGUCUGUUUGUGUAUGUGUGGAUGUCUGUUUGUGGAUGUCUAUUUGUGUAUGUGUGGAUGCCUGUUUGUGGAUGUGUGGAUGUCUGUUUGUGGAUGUCUAUUUGUGUAUGUGUGGAUGUCUGUUUGUGUAUUUGUGGAUGUCUGUUUGUGGAUGUGUGGAUUUGUGUAUGUGUGGAUGUCUGUUUGUGUAUUUGUGGAUGUCUGUAUGUCUGUUUGUGGAUGUGUGGAUGUGGAUGUCUGUUUGUGGAUGUGUGGAUGUCUGUUUGUGGAUUUGUGGAUGUCUGUUUGUGGCUUUGUGGAUGUCUGUUUGUGGAUGUGUGGAUGUGGAUGUGUGGAUGUCUGUUUGUGGAUGUCUGUUUGUGGAUGUGUGGAUGUGUGGAUGUGUGGAUGUCUGUCUGUGGAUGUCUGUUUGUCUCAGUGUGUGUAGGAGUGUAUUUAUGUCUGUUAGCGUUUGUACGUGUGUAUGUGAGUGUAUGUGCUUCUGUUAGUGUAUGCAUGUGUAUGUUUGCAAUUGCAUGUAUGUGCAUACGUUAUUGUAAGUUUCUGUCAAAUAAGUGUCUCUGUCAUUUAGUGUGUGUGUGACUAUUAGUGUGUGUCUCUCCGUCAAUGAAUGAGUGUGUGUCAGUGAAUGUGUGUGUCAAAUCAGUGACGUCUGUGUGUUUGUCAUUGAAUGUGUGUGUUACUGUCAGUGUGUAUCUGCCAGUGUGGGUGUCUGUCAGAGAGUGUGCUUAAAGGGACACUAUAGGCACCCAGACUACUUCAGCUCCUUGAAGUGGUCUGGGUGCAGUGUCCCAGUCCCCUUAAACCUUCUCAGAAACUGCAAUAAUUACCUGAGGGGUAACUCCAAGUCUAGUGGCUGUCUAUCAGACAGCCACUAGAGGGACUUUCGGGUGGUUAGGUGACCAAAAGUCACCUAACUGAUGCUGGACGUCCUCACCCUGUGCAUGAGGACAUCCAGCAUCUGCUAAAUACCCAUAGGAUUUUAAUCCCUUCAGUGUCGAGUGGGGGAGGGGAGGACAUUUGAGGAGGGGGGCACUAUACGGAAUUAUAGUGCCAGGAAAACAACUUUGUUUUCCUGGCACUAUAGUAUUUCUUUAAAAGGAGCAGGAAAAGGUGGAAUCUAAAGAGGAAGGGGUGGGUUCUUAAUCAGGAAGUGGUGCACAUGAAGGAGUGGUAAAUUUAGAUUAGGGGGGUGCUCUAUAGUCAUGUCUAGGACAGCAUAAAAUUAAAAUACACCACUGUGUGAGUGUGUGUGCACGCGUGUGUAUGUAUGUGUGUGUGUUUGUGGAUGUCUGUUUGUGUAUGUGUGGAUGUCUGUUUGUGGAUGUGUGGAUGUGUGUUUGUAGAUGUGUGUUUGUGGAUGUCUGUGUGUGGAUGUCUGUUUGUGGAUGUCUGUUUGUGGAUGUGUGGAUGUCUGUUUUUUUUUUAUACACACACACACACAUACAUACAAGUGUUUUGGGGAGAGUUCCCACACUUUUUUCCCCAGGACUUGACCCCUGAUUUUGCUUCUGAAUUCUUUUCUUAGAUAGCAAUUCUUUUUGAUUAAUUGACAAUGCCUGGUUAAAAGUAGAUUGGACUGUAUCUUUAUUAUAUCCUUUUUGUAAAAACCUUUCUUUGACUGUUUCAGCUUGUUGCUUAAAAACGGGAGUUUCUGUGCAGUUUCUCCUUAGUCUGAGCAUUUGACUUUUUGGAAUGCUCUCUAGCCAAACUUUAUUAUGACAACUUUUUGUGUCAAUAUAGUUGUUGACAUGAACUUCUUUGAAAUGAGUUUUAGUGUGAAUUUUUUAUCUUUAAUGUAAAUGUUCAAGUCUAAAUAUGUAAUCUGUGUAUCGCUUAUUUCUGAAGUAAGAACUAUCCCCUCCUGAUUGGUAUUUAAGAAGGAGAUAAAUUCCCUAGCUUCAGUGGGAGAUCCUUUCCAUAUAAAGAGAAGGUCAUCUAUAUAUCUUGAGUAGGACACCAGGUUUUGUGUCCAGCCAUGUAUCUAUCCUCCCAUUCGGCCAUAUAGAGGUUGGCAUAGCUAGGCGCAAACCUGGUGCCCAUAGCAGUGCCUCUUUUUUGUAGGUAAAAACCAUCUUUAAACCAAAAAUAGUUAUUGUUAAGAAUUAGAUCUAUACCUUCAAUUAGAAAUUCUAUUUGGUCCUGUGACAUUGUGUUUUCUCUUUCUAAAAUGGUUCUCACUGCUUUACAACCUUGAUGGUGUUGGAUGAUAGUAUAUAAGGACUGAACAUCACAAGUGAUCAGAAAAAAGUAUUUUUCCCAUUGGAUAUUAUUUAACUUGUUUAGUAGAUCGAUAGAGUCUUUAAGGUAUGAUUUUGUUUUAACGACAUAAGGCUGUAAUAAAAUGUCUAUAUGUUCAGAUAAAUUGGAGAACAAAGAUCCGAUACCGGAUACUAUCGGUCUACCAGGGGGGUUGGUUACGUUUUUAUGAAUCUUAGGGAGGAAGUAGAUAACGGGGAUUCGAGGAUGUUGGAUAUUAAUAUAUAGAAACUCAUUUUUAUUAAGAAUACCAGAUCUUUUUCCUUCCUCUAAGAAUGUUUGAAACUUUUGUUUCAUCUCUAGUGUUGGGUUGUUGUGGAGUCUUGUAUAUGUAUUGUCAUCGUUUAAUUGUUUAUAGGCUUCAGUUUCAUAUUGUUCCUUUGAUAAGAUCACAAGACCCCCUCCCUUAUCUGCAGGUUUGAUUACAAUAGAGUCGUCAUUAUAUAGCUCUUCCAGUAAUUUCCUCUCAUGUUUGUUUAAAUUAGGUUUGUUGACAUAUUUAUUAUUUUGUUCUAAGAUUUUUAAAUCUUUAUGGAUCUUACGUUCGAAUAUCUCUAAUGCGCUGGAUUUUAGAUGGGCUGGGUAGAAGGUAGAUUUCUUUUUUAGAUUGCUUCUUAUAUAGUCUUUAUCUGUAUUGAUAUCUGUAAUAGUGUGUGUGCUUUCUUGUAUAUUCUGCGUAGCUGAUGUUUUUGAAGCAAAGAAUCUUUUGAGGGUGGCAUUUCUAACAAAUUUGUUUAUAUCGAUAUAAGUUAGAAAAGAGUUAUAUGUUCUAGUAGGGGCAAAUUUUAGGCCCCUUUUUAAUAUAUUUAUUUGGGAUUUAUCUAGGACUUUGUUUGAAAGAUUAAAUAUACCGGUAGGGGAGGCGUCAUUCUUUGUUUUUAGAAUCUUCCUUUUUUGUUCUCUUCUCCCUGCUCUUCUACCUCUAGGAUUCUUUUUCUGCUCUUUAUGGGUGUUAUAUUCAGACAGUUGGUGUUCCUGUCUUGAUUGAAUGGAAUCUCUAAAAAAGAGGUUUCGUCAAAUUGUUCACAGAAUGAUAGGGCUUGAUAUUUAUUUUUGGUGAUUAUUUCAUUUGGUGAGUUGUGUUUCCGAUUUAUAUAUUUGUUGUGUCUGUUGUGAUUUACCUUUUCCCAAGGAUUGUCUUUAUCCCUAGAUUUGUGUACUGGAGAACUAGGUAUAUGUGUAUAUUUGUGUGUUUUUGGUCUAACUACCAUAGGUGAUUCAUUCGGAUUGUGAAGUCUCUCUUUUCUUUGAUUUCUCAUAUUAUCGGUUCUGUAUAUUGUUUAUUUAGUUUUGAAAUCAGUAGGUUUGUAAUAUGUCUGUCUAGGUUUAUUAUAAAAGUCUCCAUUAAUAGUGUUGUGAGUCUUAGUGUCAUUUGUGGUAAUAAAUCUAUCUGUGAAUUUACGUGGUGAUUUUUUCCGAUAAUGUGAGUAUUCAGAUCUCUCAUUGUCAUCUCUGUAUUGAAGAUGUUUAGGUCUGAAAUUCUUUUUAUUUUCUGUGUUUUGAUUGUAUGAGUAAUUUGGAUUUCUCCAUUUUUGCUGUCUCGGUGCUCUUUUUGUGUUAUAGUGCGUAUUUGAUUAUUUGCAUAAUCGUAUUUGUCUCUGUUGUAUUUGUUUUUUUUUAUUUUUCUGAUAUCUGUUUCUGUUUUUUCCACUGUCUUUUUGAUAUUCUGUGUUUGGUUAAAAUAUUCUUCUGUAUCUGCAAAUGGGAUUAAUUGGUCCCUUAGACUAUUAAUUUUUUUGUCUAAAUUAAGCAAUCUUUCGCUCUUAACCUUAAUCAGACUUUUCGUUAAGGCCGAAUGUGCAAAACUCUAAGUGGUUAAACCACUCUUCCAUAAAGAUUUUAUUAUCUGUAUCUGAUGUCGGCAUUUUGAAAAGCCUAAGACCUCUCGGGGUAAUUUUGUCUUCGACAUAUUUACUGAGGGUCGCAAUUUCCCAUCUUAGCUUCAUUUCUUUAAUCAAGGAAAACUCUAGUUAUGUGGUGUGGUAGGCAACCUUUGGAUAAUUAUAUCUUGGUCUACUGUUUUACCCCAGGUUGCCCACCCCUCACAACACCAAUAUGGACAGAAAUUAAAAUCUCUAUUUGGGCAAUCAGGAUCAGUAGAUCUUUUACUGGGACAUAAAUAUUUGUCAUUGAACCCAUAAGUUCGUUCCCACUUUAAAUUACCACAUACAUUUCAAGGUUUUCCACUACCCGAGAUCGCCUUACAUGCAUCAAAUAGUAGAAUACCUGUAGAAUGUAUGGUAUUUAUCACCGUCCUAUUUAUCAAGGUCCCCUGAGAGUUACUAUUCCGAAUUACCAACCAAAUUGUACGGGGUUGGAAUUGGGGAUCAAAACAUUUAGACUCUCCCUCUACUGGGUGACACACACUGUAAUCAAUAUCCAAAUAUCUACAUUUAGAUACAGACCGCUUACAUUCAUACUGUGAGUGCCAAAUAAGAGUUUGGGAUAUUUGAUUACCUGUCUUAGUAGUCUUAAUGCAACUAUCAAAAUUCUGUAUGUCUAUACUCUUACCUUCCUGAAAAUUUAUAAUAAUACAUAAAUACACAAUAAAAUGUAUUAUUCCUGGUAUCCUCAUUCUUAUUUCUUCGACCAUGCGCCGGCACCUCAGCUUCCCAACUGUGAGGGCUGCAAGGAUUGGCGUUCUUCUGAUCCUCACUUUCCUUCACAGAGAUCUCUUCGAGACUGUAACGGACCGUUUUGCCCAAAAGAGGUUAAAAACCGUUUAGGCGAUAUUCCCCUUUUUCAGCUGCACCGACAGCUACUGCAAGCACCAAUCUCCUGAACUGCAAACCCACGAAUUCACCAACUCCCGAACUGCAACCAAGGGAAUACUCAAAACUCCCGAACUGCAUACCAAGGGAAUACUCGAAACUCCCGAACUGGAGACACACAAAUAGCUGCUAGCAGACGAACAGGAAAAGCCCACAGGCGGCUUACACUCCUGGCAAUCAGUUUCUAACAGCAUACAGUAAAUCAUCCCCCAAUAAUGAGAAGACACUUCACUUUGAGGGUUAAGCAGGAACUGAUUUACUGGGGCUAACUGCCCGGCUUUUAUGCAGGUCUCCCACCUGGUGGACACUCCCCCAGGGGACCAAAUGGGAGACUGGGACACAGAGGGUAAAAGGACCAAUCACAUUUCAACCAUUCCACAAUGCAUCAUAAUCCCUCCUCUCUGCCCUGGAGAUAAUUGGGAAGUAAUUCAAUUAUCUCCAAAGACAGAGGCAAAACUCCAUUAACCACAUGGCAGAAAACAAACAGUAAAAGACAUAAAAUUACCUACAGUUACAUUCAGUACAUAAAACAUAUACGUUCUACAUAUCCCCAGAUAGCUCAGGUCUGAGCGCACAUUAUUAAGCGAAUGGCGCUCAGACCACACGAAUACAGUUUAAUCGCCAUGGAGCCAAAGUCUUUACACAGUCAGUUUCAUGCGAAUGGGCUCCAUGGGAUUCCUAUCUGGGGCACAACACACUCAAACAAAACUACCGAACACCAGGCCGUUCGUGCACUUUCACCGAACAAGAAGGGAGGUCGGCGGCUUCAGCGGUGUUCGCGCAAAACUGUGUCCGAUUUCAGUUCCAUGAAUUAAGCGUCGAACACCGCUGUGCAUUCGCAUGUUUAGAAUGGCCGCGACCUCGUGUUCAUGAUACGAAUGGCGGCCACCCAGCAUUCGUCAAUUAAGCUACGGUUAACCGCAGCUUCAGGGAGGUUAAUUGCCGGCACACUCCAGCUCCCAGGUGGUCUAUUCAUUUGUGCGGUUGUUCGGUAGAUUGAAUCUACCGAACACCCGGCAGAAAAGCACAAAUAAGUCUUUUCUGCAGGGAAAAAAGAUGUCUUUUAACAUGGGGCCAUAGUCCAAAGGCAGCAGGUGAGCAACCAGGCUUCUCCAGUGUAUAGUGGCGAGGUUGGUUUCACCACAUUGUACGUCUGCAAUGUCCCCAUGUCCAUCUGUAAUUCCAGUCUCCCAUUUUGUCCCCUAGGGGAGUGUCCACCAAGUGGGAGACCUGCAUAAAUACGGGCAGGUAGCCCACAGUAAAGCCAGAUCCUGUUUGACCCUCAAUGCGGAGCUUCUGUCUCGUUAUUGGGGGGAUUUCUUCUUUGCGCUUAGAGACUGCUUAUUGGAACCGAAAGCCGCUUGGUGGAUAUCGUUGUUCGGCGGCUAGCAGCAGUUCGUGGAUUUCCGUUCGGGAGUUUGGAGCCUUGCACGGAUUCCGGUCGGGAGAUUGCCGCUUCCCCUGAUGUUGAUUCGUAUACUGCAGUCUAUGCGAAUAGAGUUAAUAGUAUUGCGAAAGGGGAAGGCUAACUAAAUGGCGGUUUCUCUAAAAGACGCCAGGGGUGUUUUAACACCUAGUAUAUCCAAUACUCAUUCGGUAGUUUCCUUCCGAACGGCCAGAGCAUCAAUAGGUAUUGUAACGAAAUCCCCUAUUUACAGACUAUACGAACAAGCCUGUUCGGUUAUUUGGAGAAUUACAGAGGGAUUUUGUGGAAAUAACAAUAAAUGCGAAUGAACUACCGAACCACCGACCUCCCACUGAGGUCGUGUGGCGCCUAUUGAACACCCUGACUGUUGCGGUUAACCACAGACUAAUUGGGGAAUAGCUGGUGGUCCACGUUCGUCUACCGAACACGUGGCAAUCGCCAUUUUGUUUUGUCGAACGCACAGCGGUAAAUGGCACGGAUUCCCUGGAACUGAUUUCGGCUACCUAUUUUGUCGAACACCGCUGUUACCUUCUCUCAUCCUCGUUCAUACGGUGGAAAACACACGAAUGAAGGGGAUAAUACUUCAUUCGUGCGCUGAAAGUAUGCGAACGUAACCGACACCAGAUAGUUAGAAUAUGGAACUUGCAGUCUGCUACAAACACACGAACGGCCGGUGAAAGGCAAACUUCAGUCGACGAUUCUGAGACCUGUGUUCGUGGGAUCUGAGCGCUAUUCGCCUAGAAUAUGCCCUCAGAUCCAAGCUAUCUGGGGAUAUGUGGAAUUUAAAGUUUAUGUUGUGUAAAAAGAAAGUUAUGUAUUUUUAUUCUGUUUUUACUAACUAAGAAAAGCCAUGUUUCUUUCUUCCUGGAGAUAAUUAAGGCUCUCUUUGCUACCUUAAUUUAAUUAUCUCCAGGAUGGAAAAGAGGGAGUGAUUUAGGUAAAAGGGGAGUGCUUAUGCUAUAGCCACUGUGAUUGGCUACUGUGUUACUUUUGUCCCAGUCUUCCAUCUGGUCCCCUAGGGGAGUGUCCACCAGGUGGAAGACCUUCAUAAAUACCGGGCGGGUAGCCCACAGUAAAUCAGAUCGUUUUACCCCUUCAUGAAGUCUCGACUCAUGUUUGGGGGAUUUGGAGUUAUAAUCACUUCGUUUCAGUUGGAGUUCGGGAGAAGCUGCAAGGAUCAUCGCUGCACGAAUGCAAGGAUCCUUUACAGGUAUACCUCUCCAUUCGGCAGAUAAAAUAAACGAUUCCCAUACGAAUACAAUAGCUUUACCAGACGAUUUCCUUAGUAAAGCAUACGAAUACCCAAACACCAGCCGGAGUCUAGAAGAAGGGUGCCACACCAGCCGGAGUCUAGAAGCUUUAUUGUGCCACACUGGCUUUUAUGCAAGUCCCCGUGUAAGGGGACAUCCCACAGCCAAUCAUAAUAAGAUAAAUAGUUAUACACUCCCAUUGCAAACAUAUAAUUCCCUCCCCUGAACCUGGAGAUAAUCAAGGCAGAUAACAUAAUAACUUCAUUAUCUACAGGCAUAAAAAGUACUGUUUUACCCAACUUUUAGAACACCCCUAAAAACGUGGGGUAUCCCCUUAAAAGUCAUAUCCCCUGAUAGCCCUGAUCUGGGUGACCAACAUAUCCAAAAAUCCCCCAGAUCAGUUCAGGAGUUUUCAAAUUCCAUGGAGGUCUUAGGUGACUGGCUUCACACAAGGUUGCUGCCCAAAACAGUUCUAUGAGUUUGGGUAGUUUUGCCGGUCAAUUUUGUGAAAUUGAAAUAAACUAAUAAUCCCAUGAACGGUUUCCCCUGGCUCCUAGCAGCGAUUGUUCCCCUCAUACGAAUGCGCAAAAGUACCGAACAGCACUCUCCUAGCUGUUCGGGAAACAAAGAUCCAGCGUUCGUAUGUUGGGACCGGUGUUCGGGAAGUCAAGUGUCCGAUUUUAGUUCCAGACACUCGACGACCAAGUCCUGCUGCCUUUGUUCACACAAACAAGAUGGCCGCCAUUUUCUCAGCCACGUGGCGUUCGGCAAUACAAAUGGCGGCCGCACAGGUAGAGGGUUUAAUUGAAGCAUGCUUUUGAAGUUAACGAGCCAGAGGGGUGGCCUCUGUUCGGUAGUUACAUCUACCGAAUGAAAAGGGGAGAAAUAACGAACACAAAGAGGGAUUUUUUCACAGUAGGUAUUUCGCUGUCUGUGUAUUAGGAGGGGAUGAGGGGUAGGUAUCUUGCUGUCUGUGUACUAGGAGGGGAUGAGAGGUAGGUAUCUUGCUGUCUGUGUAUUAUAAGGGGAUGAGGGGUAGGUAUUUUGCUGUCUGUGUAUUAUAAGGGGAUGAGGGGUAGGUUUUUUGCUGUCUGUGUAUUAUGAGGGGUAGGUAUCUUGCUGUCUGUGUAUUAUAAGGGGAUGAGGGGUAGGUAUUUUGCUGUCUGUGUAUUAUGAGGGGAUUAGGGGUAGGUAUCUUGCUGUCUGUGUAUUAGGAGGGGAUGAGGGGUAGGUAUUUUGCUGUCUGUGUAUUAUGAGGGGAUGAGGGGUAGGUAUCUUGCUGUCUGUGUAUUAGGAGGGGAUGAGGGGUAGGUAUCUUGCUGUCUGUGUAUUAGGAGGGGAUGAGAGGUAGGUAUCUUGCUGUCUGUGUAUUAGGGGGGGAUGAGAGGUAGGUAUCUUGCUGUCUGUGUAUUAUGAGGGGUAGGUAUCUUGCUGUCUGUGUAUUAGGAGGGGUAGGUAGGUAUCUUGCUGUCUGUGUAUUAUAAGGGGAUGAGGGGUAGGUAUUUUGCUGUCUGUGUAUUAGGAGGGGUAGGUAUCUUGCUGUCUGUGUAUUAUGAGGGGAUGAGGGGUAGGUAUCUUGCUGUCUGUGUAUUAGGAGGGGAUGAGAGGUAGGUAUCCUGCUGUCUGUGUAUUAGGGGGGGAUGAGAGGUAGGUAUCUUGCUGUCUGUGUAUUAGGGGGGGAUGAGAGGUAGGUAUCUUGCUGUCUGUGUAUUAUGAGGGGUAGGUAUCUUGCUGUCUGUGUAUUAUAAUGGGAUGAGGGGUAGGUAUUUUGCUGUCUGUGUAUUAGGAGGGGUAGGUAUCUUGCUGUCUGUGUAUUAUAAGGGGAUGAGGGGUAGGUAUUUUGCUGUCUGUGUAUUAGGAGGGGUAGGUAUCUUGCUGUCUGUGUAUUAUGAGGGGAUGAGGGGUAGGUAUCUUGCUGUCUGUGUAUUAGGAGGGGAUAAGGGGUAGGUAUCUUGCUGUCUGUGUAUUAGGAGGGGAUGAGAGGUAGGUAUCUUGCUGUCUGUGUAUUGGGGGGGAUGAGAGGUAGGUAUCUUGCUGUCUGUGUAUUAUGAGGGGUAGGUAUCUUGCUGUCUGUGUAUUAUAAGGGGAUGAGGGGUAGGUAUUUUGCUGUCUGUGUAUUAGGAGGGGUAGGUAUCUUGCUGUCUGUGUAUUAGGAGGGGAUGAGGGGUAGGUAUCUUGCUGUCUGUGUAUUAUGAGGGGGUUCCUUUGUGAGAUAUAUACUGAAUUGUCCCCCUUUUUUUCGCAGAUUUCACACUACCCAGCACUAUACAGAGAGAUGAAGACUUUCUGACCUUGUAAAAGCUCGGUACGAAAACAACCUGGAGACGGACAAUACGAUAAGUUGGGGUAAAGGGAUAUCAGCACAACAACACCAAAGGAAACCUGAUCACUGUGGAAACAGGGACCUAGGUGGCUAUAUGUUAUGUACAAGGAAAGGAUCUGAGAUCCACACUCCUCUCUGUUUUCUUGACUCGGGGAUCCCUAUAAAGGCCACUCUCGUCACACAAGAUUCACCUGCUCUGAAUUAAUAUGGUUCCUUAGGUUCAUUACAAUCUUCCCUUUAAUUCCACCAUAUAUUCCUCUGGAG